rnacentral:lncRNA from 1 species
GGCAGAGUAACAAAACAAAACCAUUAUUUUAUUUCCCUGCAAGUUUUCUCUCGAUGUUGAGUGGAAUAUCAAAGCACCUUUCCGGUGCAUACCCAGCCCUUCUUCUUCUAGUCAUCCUAGCCGGUCACCAGAGUUGCAGUGCUAGAAAGAACAGUGUUUACUGCGCUCCAUCUUCUUGUGGCAACAUCCAUAAUAUUAGCUACCCUUUUCGACUAAGCACCGAUCCCAAUAGCUGCGGCGACAAAAAAUAUGAACUUACUUGUGAAAACAACCGCCCAGCUUUAUACUUGAAGAAGAAGACGGUAAAAUAUUACGUUCAGGCAAUCCAUUACAGCAACUUGACGAUUCGAGUUGUGGAUGCUGAUGUUCAGAAGGAUGAUUGCUUCCCUAUCCCUGGUCAUUCUUUAAGCAUAGAUGACAACAGGGAUUAUCUUCCAUAUGAUCUUGGCAUGUUCGGUAAAGAUAUUUCGUACUUUGUAAGUUUUAUUUUUAUAAGUUGCCCAAAGCCAAUACCGAGUCCUUCAGACUUUAUUGUGGAUGCUUCUUCAUGCAAAAAUGGUAGUACUCUUUUUAAUUCCCACAAUAUGGAGGGUUAUUCCAGCUAUGUCUUUAUUGGUGAUUCCAGCUAUGAUUCCUUUGGGGACAUACCGAACUCGUGCCAUGUAAAUUUGACGUAUCAAGCGCCUUUCACUUUUCAGCCGAAAAAAGGGACCAAUAUUUCCUAUAUAGAAGUCCGCGAUUGUAUUCUAUAUGGGUUUGAUCUUUCAUGGUCUCGGUACUGUUGUCAUUUUCGGAAAGAGAACCCCUGCAACCUUGAUGAAGCCUACAUAAGCAGUUAUUGCUGUACGUUACUCUCUCUCUCUCUCUCUCACACACACAAACGCACGCACAUAAAUAUCUCAACGACACAGGUCGCUGAUAAAAAGAGGAAAAUAAUGCGUUACCGUUUGUCUUAAGCUCUUCUUAGCUCUUUCAUUCAUAUCAGUUGCAUAAUUAUUCUCUUAAAAGGAUUUUAAUUAAUUUCAUUAAUUUAACUCUUUCUUUUUUAUAUAGAUAUGUAUGUACCGAUUAAGCGGUUCUCCAAUCCAAAAUGCAAUAAGUAAGUACCUCUCUUUCACAUCACAGUUAUAUUUUUUAUAUCAAUAUGCGAAUAUAAACAUGAUUGUCAUAUUUAUUUUAUUUUAUAAUGUGUUUGUUUUAUUUGAAAUAAUAAUAAUAAUAAUUAAUUGUUAUUAUUAUUACCGAUAUACGGAACAUUAACAUAUAUUAUCCAAUGGGCAAUGAACAGAGUACUUGGCUUGAUUUUUAAACACCCCCUCCACAGUUAUAUAUAAAAUUAUCUCUCUAGCUCUCUCUCAAAUUUUAAAAUCAUAUACCUCUUUCUUACAGCCUUAUUAAUUUUUUAAAAAACAAAUAUUUUCUCUAUCAUAAUUUUAAUUUUACACCCCAUAUAUUAUAUAAAACUGACUUUCACCUUGUAAUGAUAAUUUAAAAUAUUAUAUACAAUUCCUCAACCUUUUUAAAUCAAAAUGCAUAAUUAUUUUAUAUUCCCCAAUAAAAAGUAAUAUCGGUGUUACUUAGUCUCUUUAUUAUUUGUUUGUUUUCCUUGCAGGUUUUCUGACUAAUCAUAUACUGCGUUACCUUGGUAAGAACUUUUCUAUUUAUCUAAAUUCUUGAACAUAAAACCUAAAUAAGGUUCAAGAAUUGGAGAGAGAGAUCUUUAGAAACUUUGCUAUUACGUAAACUCUCUAACUUUACUACCUAAAAUCUUGAAAAAUUGCAUGAAAGAUGGUGAAAGGUCGAGUAUGAAGUAAGGAUAUCCACUAUAGAUGCCUAUUUCUAGCUAAGUUUAAAGUAAAUUUAAGAAGUUUUGCCGUUAAAAAUAUAUGAAUUUGUUGAAAUGAUUAGCUCUCAGAAUGAUAAUCCACUCUGUUAAUAAUGAAUUCAAUUCGAUAAUUUUUUAGUACAUUUCUUCUUAAUUUUGCUUUAAACUCUCCAAGUCUAUUUCUAGCUAUCAGGUUAUUUGAAUACCAAAACACACUUGCAUGCUCUUUCCUUCAAUUAAAUUUAUGAAUUAUAAGAUUCUUAAUAUUGACGCAAUGUUUUCUUUUCCUUGAAAUGUAGUCGUAUGGCCGCUCAACAGAUAUUUACCAAGUGAGGAGUCUUUAUUUAUUAUGGUUCAAUUUUGCAAAAAGAAUAUACGAAUUAGAUUUGAUACAUUUAUCUCAAAGGCAUUUUCUUUAUUUUUUUGUAUACCAAAAUCUUAGACACUGACAAAUGACAAUACCUUUUCUUCUUCUUUAUUUUUUUGAUGAAUAUAGCUAACGACUGGAUAUAUUAUCACAGCUCGGGUGAGUUAAUUUAUUUUAUCUUAUUAUAACACUUUCUAAGAAGAGUAGUACUAAUAAAUUUAUUUGUGAAUUGUGAUAUAUGAAAACGAAACAUAUAUAUAUAUAUAUAUAUAUAUCCUAAAGGAUUUAAAUAAUGCCCUUUUCGUUCAUGCUAGCCUUUUCAUUUACAUAUUUAUAUAUAUAUUUCACAUAUUUACUUUGCUCUUUUUCAGUUAUUAUAGGGCAACCGCGAUUGGAAUUGAACUUUUAUAAAAAUGGUGAGGAUUAAUUAGCUCAUGCAUGUCUUAUUUAGGCUAAAUUACAAUCUUUCUCUUACAAAAAUGGAUGAGAAAGUUUUCUUUUAUUCGGUUCAAAGAGUUAAUCUAAAUAUUUGGUGUUAGUUUAGAUAAUUAUACUUAAUUAUAUAUUAUUUUAAUUAGAAGUAUCAUAAAAUUAUUACAAAAACCAUACAAAAGUUUAAAAUUAUUACAAUUCAAAAUUCCUUAAUAAUUUUUCUUGAAGGGAUGGUUUUAAAAACUUUUAAUGCAUAUAUAUUGGGUAUAAAUAGAAUUUUUUUUUUAAUAUUUUAUUUUCCUUAUAAGAGGUUAUUAUAAUUUAAUUAAGAAUCUUACAAUUGCUAAAAUAUGAUGUAUAAACUAUGUACAUUUUCAUAUGAUUAUACAUGCAUUGUUUAGAGCAUGAGAGUAUCGAGAUAGAAGUUUUUUUGAAUUUAACAGAGAUUAUUAGUAAGUUUAUCCAUAUAAUCUUAUUUUAGUCCUUAUCUAUUCUUGGUUAUAAUUAUUACAAUUUUAGUUUCUGUCUUCAAAUUAGGAUUUUGUUGAAACUUUCUUGGAUUUUGUGUGUCCAAGGCAACUAUUCAAAGUGACUGUCAAAAGCAUUGCCUUUAUGUAAUAUUGCUUGUGUUUCUUAGUUUCUAUUUGUUUUCAUUCCCUUCAUGUAUUUAUUUGGCAGGACCUAAUUCUUAUCCUUAUACAACGAAGACCAUCACUUCGGAUGCACUAAGCAUUUUCAUAGUUUUGCUCUUUACCCUACCUGUGCUCAUCGGUAAGUGUUUUCUUUUGCUAUCUUGGAAUAACUGUGAACCAUUAAAUGUAUGUAUAUAUUAAGAUACAAAAUCUUUAAAAGAUAAUAUCAAUUUUAGAGAUACAUAUUUAAUGGUUUCAUCCAUGCAUUACCUUUUGCUCAUUUUCAUCAUUUAAAUUGUUAAAAAUAAGUCUUUCAAAUUUAAAUUCCUCAAUUCAAUUCUAAUUACUUAUUUUCUUGCAACCAAUGUCAAUUUUUCAAUUAAAUAUGGAGAAGUGUCAAAAAUUUAGAAAUGCAAAGUUACCAAAAAUAAAAGAAAGAUAAUACAAAUUAUAAAAAAUAACAAAUGGGAAACAUUAGGGAAAAAAAUCAAACUUAAAAUCUCUAAAACUCUUAGAGACAAAUUAAAUACUAGAUUAAAAUGGAAAAAAUAAAUUGUAACCCUUCAUUGAAAUUUUAAAAUGGACAAUGAAUGUAUAUUAAGAUUCGAAACCAUUAAGUGCGAUAUUAUCUCUAAGUAUUGGUACUUCAAUGGUUUCAUCCAUUAUCUUUUGCAUAUCUAAACAAUUAUCAAUUAAAAAUAGAAAAAAUAAAUUGCAAAGCAUCUAGUAAAAAAAGAAGAAAUGGAGUAUUUAAUUAUUUUUUUAAAUAUUAAAAAAUAAAAAAUGUAAAUAGAAAAGAAUGACUUAACAUAUUUUAUUUUUCUUAUUUUCUCUGUUAUGAAAAAAUAAUAUUUACAAUACUCCAUGGUUUUUUUUUCUAAUGGUUUGUCAAUUUCAUUUUUCAAUAUAAUUUUUUUAUUCAAAUUUAUCUCAAUUUUCAAAUUUUGAAAUGUUUUUCUAAUAUUUCUCAAUUCUUGAUUUUAUAAAAAAUUUUAAUUAUUCUUUUUUUUAAAACAAUUAUAGGUGUAAAAUUCUAUAUUAUUGGCAUGCGUUGACAUUUAAUGGAAGCAUUGAUCAAAUCACAAUAGAGAGAUCACAUUAAAAAAUAUCUAGAGUAAAGGGACUGAACAAAUAAAAAAAAAAAUUAAAAAUAUCAAGAAUGGAGCUGUGAAAUAUACAAUUAUUUCAUUGUUUAUUAGAGCUCUGAGUUUAAAAUUAAUUAGAGGAUUAGGAUGGAAUUAAAAAAAUGAAUUAAAGUUUGAGGACUCAUUUUAGUUACUGUUCUAAGAAAUAAAGAGAGAUAUUUUAUAAGUUAAUGAAUAAAAUUACAAAAUUUAAAAACAACAUAUAUUUGCAAGAAAAACUUGAUAUAACUUGAUAUAUAUAUAUAUAUAUAUAUAUAUAUAUAUAUAUAUAUAUAUAUUAAUGUUUUUAUGUUUUGAUUUUUCCCUCAAAUCAAUGAAAUCUUAAUUAAAUUUUAUUUGGUGAUAAGAAUUUCAAAUUAAAAAAAAUCGAUGCUUUUGUGGAUACAUGUUUGAAUUAAGAUUUCAUUUAGAAAAAAAAUUUACAUGGCAAUCUAAUAACAAAUAAUAUGUUUCCAUAAUUGAUUAAUGUUCUUAUAAUGUCUAUAUGCAGGGAUAUAUCAUACAUUAUUAUUCAUUUGUGGGCUUCCAUGUCUCAUAACCUUAUUGGUCUACAAAUGGCGAAGAAGGCAUUUAUCAAUGUAUUGUAAGAUUGAAGAAUUCUUGCAAAGUCAGGAUCAUAAUCUCACACUUAUAAGGUACUCUUACUCGGAGAUUAAGAAGAUAACUCACGGAUUCAAUGACAAGUUAGGUGAAGGUGGUUAUGGCUCGGUGUACAAAGGAAAGCUUCGUAGUGGCUGUUUUGCGGCUGUAAAAAUUUUGCGCAAAGAAAAAGGUAAUGGGCAAGAAUUUAUCAAUGAAGUUGCAACCAUUGGAAGAAUUCACCAUUGCAAUGUGGUGCAGCUUAUAGGCUUUACUGUUGAGGGCUCAAAGCGUGCCCUUAUAUAUGAGUUCAUGCCUAAUGGAUCUCUUGAAAAGUAUAUUUUUUCUAGGCAAGGUACCAUACCGCUGAGCAACCAGAAAAUAUAUAAAAUUUCUCUUGGGGUGGCUCGUGGCAUUGAAUAUCUACAUGAAGGUUGUGACAUGCAGAUUUUGCAUUUUGACAUCAAGCCUCACAACAUUCUUCUCGAUGAAAAUUUCACUCCAAAAGUCUCAGAUUUCGGACUUGCAAAAUUAUAUCCAACUAAUAAUAGCAAUGUGUCCCUUACUAUGGCUAGAGGAACGAUGGGAUACAUGGCUCCUGAGUUAUUUUACAAAAGUAUUGGAGGUGUCUCUUACAAAGCUGAUGUCUAUAGUUUUGGGAUGUUGUUGAUGGAAAUGGUUGGUAGAAGAAAAAAUCUGAAUGCAUUGGCAGAUCAUUCAAGUCAGAUGUACUUCCCUUCAUGGAUUUAUGACCAGGUUAAUGAAGGAAAGGAUAUACUUGAAGAUCAAGCGACAGAGCAGGAAAAGAACACAAUAAAAAAGAUGACUAUAGUGGCAUUAUGGUGCAUACAAUUGAAGCCUAUUGAUCGUCCAUCGAUGCAUAGAGUUGUACAGAUGCUUGAAGCAGAUAUUGAAUCUCUACAAAUGCCUCCUAAGCCUUUUCUCGUUCCACAACAGACAUCAAAUGAUGAUAGGAUUAAUAUGGCUAAUCCAACAAGUUUAAGAGAUUCAUCGAAUGUUUGUAGCGUUGAUUCUUCAUAUCAAUUUGGUCGUUGAUAGAAUUAAGUAAUAUGUUAAUUUUGUAUGCCUUAACUAUCUGAAUUUUGAUGAUAGUCAUGUUUGUUGUCGCACGCGUGCAGCGUCGCGGCGAUCGCCCACCACCCCCCAUCAUCGAGUGUGGUAAGUCUAUCUAUUGUGGAAAAUAUGGUGAGACAAGGAAUUCUUUGUCUCUUAGCGGUGAAAAAUGGAGUAGGAGUCGCCACCUAGUAUUUUGGUUACUAAGAACCCUAACUGGUCUCAGAGAUUGGGUACGGAGACUGGUUGCGUAAAGGAAAUGUAUUAGCUCCCCAAAUACACCCUACCUAAGGUAAGCUGCAUUGUUUUAUUAUCUAAACAAUUCUAAGGUCUUAUCAUGUUGGUCCGUCUAGGGUUCAAGAAAAGCCCUUCUCAAUAAGGAGGUUCUUAUCUUUUGGGGUAAAAAUCUAACCGGUCUAAUAUCUAUAAAGGACUACCUUUUUAAUAUCGGGAAUACAUUUUACGUAUAAAUUUGUAAUCCCAGACAUUAAAACAAAACAAAAUAUUUUUUUGAAAUAUUGGUCACGUUCUCAUGACUUUAAUAAACUGGUUAUUAAAGCCAAAAUGCAUGCUAAAAUAAUAUAUUUUUUUGAAGUUUUCUUUGUUGUAUAAAAAAUAAAAUUUGAGUUUUUCUUUUAGCUUUAAGAGACUUGGCUGUAUGCCUAAAGACAAAAGUUUUUUUUUUGAAAACCGGGUAUUUUUAAUACUGGAUUUGUAUUUUUAUAAUAUAAAAAUACAGACCAAUCUUAGUCGAAAUGACGUAGAAAAAUCCUUGGAAAAAUCACAAUUUAAAUAUAUAUAUAAAACACACAAGAACAAAAAAAAGAAAAAAAAUAAUAAAUAAAAUAAAAUGGACUGGGCUAGGCCUGUUGAUUAGUACUUAAAAGUGCAUAUUUAUCAAGGUUUUAUAUCAUCAUUUUGCACUUAAAGUAUCAAUAACUCCUUAACUAAAGCAUGUUUUAUAAUAACAAGUCUAAUACUAUAAAAUGCCUUAAUAUAUGGUAAAUGUUCAUCUUAAAUGCAGGCCAAUCACAUAAAUCAAAGGAUUGAUUGAUGAGUUCAAGUAUGGAAAUUGAAAGGACACAGAGACGGCCAAACUUAGAAAAGAGAUGUUGGUGCAGUCCAAACUGGAACAUUGUUCGGUAAUUGGGUCAUAUUUCGAGUUCUAGAUGUCCAAAUGACAUCAAAUGUUAACACAGAUUCAGUAAGACAUAGUCCUACAACUUUCAUGUUUUCAUCAAGAUCUAAGAAGGCCGUUUUCAAGUCCAUAUUAUAGCAACAACGGAGAAGUUCGAAUCUGUCCUGCAGCCCAAACACCGUUCAGUGUUUAGCCCAUAUCUAGAGUUCUAGAAGUCCAAAUAACCUCCAUUUUUUUUUUCCUGGAAAACUGAUUCAAUUUCCUACAACUUUCAUGUUUUCCAGUGGACCCAGUUCGAAUGGUAGCAUUUUGUUUUUAUUCAGACAAGAAGAUAAGAAUUUUCACCAAGUUAAAAGUUGGCCACCCACUCAACAAUUAGUCAUCAAAUCAAUAAUUCUGAAUUUUGGCCUAUAAAAGGAGGCAUUUGCCAUGUAUUUGGGGGCUUGGUUGUUCAGAUCAUUCAUGCUCUUUAUUUCUCUCUUUAUAGUUUUUGUAAUUUUUAAGUUUUGCUUUCAUUAAUAUCUUGUUUAUGCUUUUCAUUUUCUUAGUUAACUUGUAUCUUAUUUAUGUUCUUGUUUUUUUUAUUUAUGUUUCUCUUCUUCAUUAUGUUUAGCUAAGUUUAUUAUGUCAAGGUAAAAAGGUUACACUAAUGGUGUAAGAAUAAGUAUGGUGUAAACUCAACAUGGACCUUAAUGUUUAAUAUUAACAUGUCUUAUCUUUUUAUCUUACUAAUUCUUAAUACCUUGCUUGUUAAAUGGUUAAUCUAGAUUUGUGUUGUAUAACACUUGAUACAACAAAUGCUUGGCACUCUCAUAGCUCAAUCGUAUGGUAUUAUCUACACCUGAGCUAUGAUGAUUUGUUGUUAACAUCAGUUAACAUCAUGAAUUCCUGACAAUAUUUAAAAGUUUGGUGUUAUGUAAAUAAGAUAAUUAAUAUGAUCAUGUUAAUAAUUUAUAAUGAGCUAUUAAUGAGAAAUCAUCCGAUUGGAACCUCCUUUGUGUGUGGUUUCCAAUUGAAUAACAAGAGUUUAUACUAUACUUGUUUGUAAUACCAUUAGUGGAUCCUCUAACCUUGACAUUUGUUUUUAUCAUUGUUUAAUCCUUACAUUAAUCUUUCAUCUCAAAGUUCUCAUUAAUUUCUUCAUAUUCUUCUUUUAUUAUUAUUAUUAUUAUUACUAUUAGUAUUAGUAUUAGUAUUAUUACUAUUAUUAUUAUUAUUAUUAUUAUUAUUAUUUUGUUUAUAUUAUAUAAUAUAUCUCUUUGAUCUUUUCAUAAACUCAGUAUAUAGGCUGGAAACCUGUGACCCGAUCUUUUAGAUCAUUCUCAGGUAUAACAACACCACGUACUGAGUAUUAUUAUUAUUAUUAUUACUACUACUAUUAAUAUUAUUGUUAUUAUUAUUGUUGUUAUUGUUGUUGUUGUUGUCUUGUUAUUUAUAAUUUAUACAAUUAACCUCUCUGUGGUUCGACGCCGGUCUUGCUGGGUUAUUUAUUACUUCGACACUCCUGCACUUGGGAGAAGACAUCAAUCUUUUGGUCGUGUCACCUGUAUUGGUUCAGCCAUAAGGCUGGACUCAACCCAGCCGUGUGGGCUGGGCUGAUGUUCCAGCCUUUAGUUAACAGGGCUAGACUCAACCCAGCCGCGUGGGCUGGGCUGAUGUUCCAGUCCGUAUAAAACAGGGCUGGACUCAGCCCAGCCGCAUAGGCUGGGCUGAUGUUCCAGCCCGAAGCAAAAAGAGCUGGACUCAGCCCAGCCAUGUGGGCUGGGCUGAUGUUCCAGCACGUUGUAGAAGGAAAAAAACACCAUGACUGGUUUAAUUAGCCGGUUAUUAUGCGCAUGCAUGGUAACCGGCUAAUUAUUUUCUUCUUGCAUGUAGAACGGGCACAGUGCACGUUCUAUAGGCAAGAAGAUGAUUAAUGACCGACGUGAGGAGGGGAAGGCAAUUUACCUGAGGCGAUGAUCUUGAAUGGCUGAGCUGAUGGUGGUGCUGGUCAUAGUUAUUAAACCCGGUUCAGGAGUUGACCCGGCCAAAGGACCGGGUCCCGGGUUAUAUGGGUCCAUCCGGUUAACCCGGGUCAACCCAUAAAACCCAGGUUAUUUACUUAUUUAUGGGGUCAGGUGGUUAAAGAGAGAAAUGGAAAAGGAAAGCAAUUAUAAAGAGGUGAAGUGGGACCCAAUGUGGCGAGAAAACAUCUUUUCCCUGCAAAUUCCUCUGGUUUCUACAUGCUUGAAAACAUUAGCGAGAGAGAGAGAGAGAUGUUAAAGACUUGAUGAUGAUAAUAAAGCCUCUGGUGCUGGUACUGUACCUAUUGCCUCUCUCUCUCUCUUGAAAUUGCGAGUUUGGUCCCAUUUAACCUUCAAUUUUUUUGAAGUUACAAUCAUCAAUCGUCAGGCUAGAAGAAAAAAAUGGAACCCAACGCCAACCCUCAAGAUCUCCAAACCCAGAUCGACCUGCAAUCGUCUCAAGCGAACCACCUCCAAAACGCCGGGUCUCGCCCGGGUCCGUCCCGGUCGGCCAGGUUCCGGGUCGACCCUCCGGGUCGGCCGGGUUUUGCCGGGUUUUGCACUGGCCGGUCUUUUGACAAACCCAGACCGGUCUAGCCACCGGGUUGGACGGGUCCCGGGUCGACCCGCCAGGCCGGGUCGGGUUUGAUAACUAUGGUGCUGGUUACUGUUCUCGGUGGCGCUGCGGUGGCGGUGACGAUGAAACCUAGUGACAGCAGCGACGCUUCUUCUCCACUGUGCAAAGGCACCAAUCGGUGUUUUCUUCCCCGCCGGUUUAUCCCUUCUAUUCCUUUUCUUCCUUCUCCCCGUUUGUCUCUCUCAGUUUCCCAGUUGAUAUCCUCUGUUUUUGUGUUUCUCAGUUUCGGUUGUUUCUCUCUCAACACUAUCGGUUUCUCUCUCUCUUGGUUCCCCUCCCGUUUUCUAUCAUUUUUCCUCUUUUCCUCUUCCUUUUUUCCCCCUAGUUUGGGUGGUAUUUAUAGGGGUAGGAGGAGCGAGGUUGACCCUGCCCCGUACCAUCGCUGCCAGUGCAUGGUGCGCACGUUGCCUACUCUUCCCUAGCGCUGACAGCGGUGGCCAAUAGAGGCGUUGCUUGCGGGGCACGGUUGCUCUAGCAUCUCAUCAUGAGAUGGGUGGCGUCUGACUUCGGCUCUAAAGCAUGUGGGAGGAAGAGACAAGAGGAGGAAAACAAAACUUCUCUUCCCCUGCUGCACGUCCAGGGGAAGAAGAAGAAGAAACAGUGCCGUCUCAAAAUGGCACCAUUUCGUCUCUUUUUUUUAUGCAUGAAAUGACGUCGUUUUGCUUAAAAUGUACCAUUUUAUUUAAAUGAAAACUGGCACCAAAGCGCCAGAUUUCACAUCAAUCCUUCAAUUUGUGUACGUUUUGCAUUUUGGUCCUUGGUCUAUCAAAACAUAUAUUUUUUUGCAAUCAACCCUCCAUAAAUUCAAUUAAAUCCUAAAAUAAAAUUUAAUUGAGUUUAUCAACAUUUGAUUUUGUAUUUUUCUUCCUCAAAUAAAAUUUUCUUAAUCAAUAGGGUUCUCAUCGGUCAAUGAUAUACUGUCAAAUUUUAAUAUUUGUAUUAUGAACCUCCUAAACCAAUUUUUGACCAUUUUUUGGGUGCUUUGGCAUCCUCUUUUCAUUGAUAUCUUUUUGUAUUAUUUAUUUAUUAUCUUUAUAUAUUUAUUUUUAUUUUCUCUUUUCUUGUGUGGGGACCCAAAAAUGAGUUACAACAUUUGUUAAAACUUGCAAUUAACUGGCUUACAAAGCAUCCAAUAUACACUAGUCAUGUAUCAUUCUCACAUUAAAAUUUGAAUUUCUAAAAUUACUUAAUGUUUGUUCCAUUAUGACAUUGUUUCUUUUUAUUUUAUUUUAUUUUAUUAAAAAUAACUUGUUAACUCUCUUAUAGUUAUUCAAAACUUUAACUGGUCUUUAGAGAUCUAUGAUAAGGGACAUGUUAAGUCUAAGAAAAGAUAAUAUCAUCCUUGAAACAUCCAACCUGAAAUAGAUUGCAUUGUCAGUCUUGUCUUCAUUGCUAAUAGUUUGUUAUGCUAUACUAUUAUGAUUUAUUUACAAGGUGAUGGUGAGUUCAUCACAAUAUAUUAAACUUUUUAUUGAGGGUUCAAACCUAACCAUUUUAAAGUCCAGUUGGUUAAUUUUGUCACUCUCAAUUACUUAGUGAAUUACCAAUUCUAAGUUGAUCAAUCCAAAUCACAACUCAAAUUAUAUCUAUGAAUAUACUAGUGAGCUUAUAUUAAGCUUAGUGAACCCAACUCAGAUCAACACUUCCAACUCUAAUGUAAUGUCUUAUACUUCUCUUAACAUUCAAAGUAACGGUUUGUUGUGAGUAUAUUUAUUUUAAGCAUAAAAAAUAAAGAACAAAAAACAUUUUUUUAUUUGAGAAAAAAAAAAAGACAAAUAAACUUGUCAUUAAGUUCAAAUAUGCAUGCAUAAUUUUUUUUUAAAUAACAUAAGAACAUUUUUAUUCAGAUGCGAAUGCAAAUUUUUUUUUAAAAAAUUAUAUUUUUAUACUAAAACAAGUAUUUUUAUAGAAUGCUAAAAUAUAUAAAAAAAUAUUUUCUUGCCUUUUUUUUUUUAACAAACAAACUAGGAAGACAAAUGCUUUAUUUUUUUUUAACAAUGAUAGAAUAUACAAAAAUGAUUAUUUUUGGAAGACUAAGUAAAGAACAAAAAACUUUUUUUUUUUAUUUGAGAAAAAAAAAGACCAAAGUUUGUUUUGUUAAAAUUUAGGUAUGUCGGUCUAAUGAGCCUUUUGAUUUUAACAAAAACUUAAUAUGACUAAUAAACUUGUCAUUAAGUUCAAAUAUAAAUGCACUAAUAUUUGUUUUUUUUAAAUAACAUACAAACAUUUUUAUUUAAAUGCGAAAACAAUUUUUUUAAAAAAUUUAUAUUUUUAUACUAAAACAAGUAUUUUUAUAGAAUGCUAAAAUAUGAAAAAUAUUGUUUUGCCUUUUUUUUUUUUAACUUAUAAACUAGGAAGACAAAUGCUUUUUUUUUUCUACAAUGAUAGAAUAUACAAAAAUGAUUAUUUUUGGAAAAUAAAAAACUUAACAUAAAACUUGAUGUUUUCCCCCCCUCUUGAACAUGAGUAUGCUUGACCCUAACCUAUCAAACCCUUGAAUGCAGCCCAAAACAAACCGGACCAAAUAAUAAAAACCAUGGCCGAAAACUCAUCAAUAUUUAUCAAGGAAAGUCUAUGCCCAGCCUAUUGUACAUUUUGAAACCUAAAAACACUAACCCACAGCCCCGUUACCUGGCCCAUAGCCCAUCACACACGGCCCAAAUUAGAAGCCGAACGAUCCAAAAAGAAGACGCACAUUAGCCCAUUGUCAUACAAAACCCCUAAAGCUCAUCUCUUUUACUGACCCUAAUAACAUAAACACGAAUUCACGCAGCAACCAGAGGCGUGGAAGGAAAGAAGGAAGAGCAAAGAAACUACUGCAACUUGAAACAAACAGGAUGCAAGCUUAGAUUAAUCAAAUUGGAACUUUUUCUAAAAAUCUCUUCAAAAAUCAUUGCAAUAGCAAAAUGAAAUCAACUCCAUUCUCUCGUCAUUCUUCUAUUUAUACAAACAAAAACACCCAUAAGCGGAAUGAAUUCAUGGAAGCAAGCUGAAGUGUUAAGAACAAAAAAAAAAAAAGGAACAUACCUGGAAAGAUGAUGGUACUACUUGUUGUAACUCAUUUUUGGAUCCCCGGACAAAAAAUAAUAAAAUAAAAAAAAAUAAUAAUAAAUCAAAAAAUAUUAUCAAAAAAAUAUGACAGUGAAAAAGGAUUUCAAAACACUCAAAAAAUGGUCAAAAAUUGGUUGAGGAGGUUUAAAAAUACAAAGAUUAAAAUUUGGCAGUAUUUUAUUGAUUGAUGAGAGCCCUGUUGACAAAAAAAAUUCAAUUUGAGAAAGAAAAGUCCAAAAUCAGAUGUUUAUGGACUUAAUUAAAUUUUAUUGAAGGUUUAAUUGAAUUUAUGGAGAGUUUGAUUGCAAGAAAAAUUGAUUUUUGGAGUUAAUUUGGGUUUUAAUUUGAAGAAAUUAAAGUUCUGGGGUCAAAUUAAAGUUCUUGGUCAAAUCAGGGGCUUAAUUUCAUAAAUAUUGAAGUUUUAUGGCCAAUUAAGGACUUAAUUGAAGAAAUCCGAGACCAAGGACCAAAAUGCAAAACACGCGCAAAUUGAAGGCCUGAUUUUGAAUAUGAUGCUUUUUGGCGCCAAAAUCCAUUUAAAUAAAACAACAUGUUUUGGGAAAAACAUCGUCGUUUCAUGCACUGUUCACAAAAAAAAAAAACUUGAAACGAUGUCGUUUUGAAUAGCACCCAUGUCUUCUUCUUCCCCUGACACGCGAAGUAGGGGAGGAAGAACAAGAUUUUUUCCUCUGUUCCACCGCCAACUCUCUCUCAAAAAGACGCCGACAACCCACUUGCUUACCACGUGGUGGAAGAAUGGAUGGGACGUACCCCUUAGGCGGUUCGGGGCGGCGACAUAAUGGCCGCCCCAGCCACUUCUCCUUCCCCUGUUUUUGCCUAUAAAAACAGGGGAAGGGGAAGACUAAAAAAAGGAGAGUGUACAGAAAGGGAAGAAGAAAACAAAAAAAAAAACUAACCUUUCUUUUUUCUCCUGCUUCUUCUCCUUUGCUGCCAUGCCUCUACUGUUCACGUAGCAUGUGAAUAGUGGAGGGCACUGUUCACACAUGUAGAUGGGCCAGGUUCGGCCUAGCCCAUGCAUUUGGACCUCGUUUGGCCCAUUUCAAAUAUAUAUAUAUAUAUAUAUAUAUAUAUAUGUUGUGAUUUGCUCACCUUUUGAUUUAUGUCUUUUUACUUAAUAUCAAUCUGUAUUUUAUGUUGUUAAAAAUACAAAAUCCGAUAUUAAAAUACCAGGUUUUCGUCAAAACUUCCAGAAAUACAAAAAAAUUUGAAAAAAGAGAAAAAUGUUUUUGUGCAUAUGGCCAAGUGUCUCAAAGCUAAAAAUCAUAUUGUAUUUUUCAUACAUAAAAAAAAAAAACAAUGUUUUAGCAUGCAUUUUGACUUUAAAAACCAGUUUAUUAAGGUCAAGAGAACAUUGGCCAAAAUUUCAAAAACAACAAAAAUUUUAUUUUGUUUUGUUUUGUUUUAAUAUCAGGGUUUAUGAAUUUAUACGUAAAACGUAUUCCUCAUAUUAAAAAGGUAUUUUAUUUUGACGACUUAAAACAAUUAGGUUUUUUACCUAAUAAGAUAAGGAUCUCCUUACAAAGAAGAAUUUUUCUUGAACUGGAGACAGAUCAACAAAUAGAAACCACAAUAAGAUCUUAGAUUUUAUCAGACAUUAAAGCAAUGCAUCCUACCUUAGGUAAAAUGUAUUUGGGGUGCUAAUACAUUUCAUUUACGCAACCAGUCUCCAUACGUAAUCUCUAAGACUAGUUAGGGUUCUUAGUGACCAAAAUACUAGGUGGCGAUUCCCAUUCAAAUUUUUCACUGAUAGGAGACAAGAAUUCCUUGUCUCUACACAUUUGCCAGGUAGACCCUUACAUUUUUUCCUUGAGGAUGGAUGAUCUUCGCGACGCCGCACAUGACACGACUAAAAGAUUGAUGUCUUCUCCCAAGUGCAGGAGUGUCGAAGUAAUAAAUAACUCGGCAAGACCGUGGUCGAACCAUAGAGAUAUUAAUUGUAUAAAUUAUAAAUAACAAUACAACAACAAUAAUAACAAUAACAUUAAUAGUAAUAAUAAUGAUAAUAAUAAUAAUAAUAAUAAUAAUAAUAAUAAUAAUACUCAGUACGUGGCGUUGUUAUACCUGAGAAUGAUCUAAAAGAUCGGUUCAUAGGUUUCCAACCUAUAUACUGAUUUUAUGAUAAUAAUAGUAAUAAAAAUAAUAGUAAUAUUAAUAGUAAUAGUAAUAAUAGUAUUAGUAGUAUUAGUAGUAGUAGUAAUAAUAAUAAUAGUAAUAAUAAAAAGAAGAGGAGGAAGAAAUUAAUGAGAACUUUGAGAUGGAAGAUUAAUGUAAGGAUUAAACAAUGAUAAAAACAAAUGUCAAGGUUAGAGGAUCCACUAAUGGUAUUUCAAACAAGUAUAGUAUAAACUCUUAUUACUCAAUUUGGAAACCACACACGAAAGAGGUUUCAAUCGGAUGAUUUGUCAUUAAUAGCUCAUUAUAAAUUAUUAAGAUGAUCAUAUUAAUUAUCUUAUUUACAUAACACCAAACUUUUAAAUAUUGUCAGGAAUUCAUGAUGUUAACAACAAAUCAAGUUCCUUUCAUAGCCUAGGUGUAGGUAAUACCAUACGGUUGGGCUAUGAGAGUGCCAAACAUUUGUUGUACCAAGUGUUAUACAACACAAAUCUAGACUAACCAUUUAACAAGCAAGGUAUUAAGAAUUAGUAAGAUAAAAAGAUAAGACAUGUUAAUAUUACACAUUAAGGUCCAUGUUGAGUUUACACCAUACUUAUUCUUACACCAUUAAUGUAACCUUUUCACCUUGACAUAAUAAACUUAGCUAAACAUAAUGAAGAAGAGAAACAUACAUAAACAAAACAAGAACAUAAAUAAGAUACAAGUUAACUAAGAAAAGGAAAGGAAAUGAAAAGCAUAAACAAGAUAUUAAUAAAAGCAAAACUUAAGAAUUACAAAAAAAUAAAAAGAGAGAGAGGAAGAGCAAGGUCUUGAUCUGAACAACCAAGCCCCUAAAUACAUGGCAAAUACCCCCUUUUAUAGGCCAAAAUUCGGAAUUAUUGAUUUGAUGACUAAUUGUUGAGUGGGUGGCCAACUUUUGACUUUGUGAAAAUCCUUAUCUUCUUGUCUGAAUAAAACAAAAAUGCUAGUAUCAGAACUGGGUCCAUUGGAAAACAUGAUAGUUGUAGGAAAUUGACUUACUGAUUUUGUGUAAAAAUAUGAGGUCAUUUUGACAUCUAGAACUCGAGAUAUGACCCAAUUACCGAACAGUGUUUCAGUUUGGACUGCACCAAUAUCUCUUUUCUAAGUUUGGCCCUCUCUGUCCUUUCAAUUUCCAUACUUGAACUCAUCAAUCAAUCCUUUGAUUUAUGUGAUAUGCCUGUAUUUAAGAUGAACAUUUACCAUAUAUUAAGGCAUUUUAUAGUAUUAGACUUGUUAUUAUAAAGCAUGCUUUAGUUAAGGAGUUAUUGAUACUUUAAGUGCAAAAUGAUGAUAUAAAACCUUGAUAAAUAUGCAUUUUUAAGUACUAAUCAGCACACGUGCGACAUUACUCUUGAAAAACAGGAAAAAUAUUUGUUUCAUUAAGAAAAGUAUGUCAAUAAUAUUUUUUUUUAUUUUUUAAAAAUUAUUUUUGAGAUCAACACAUUAAAAUGAUUUGAAAACAUCAAAAACAUAUUAAUCUAAAAUAAAAAUUUAAAUUUAAAUUUUUUCAAAAGCACUUUUGAAAAGCAAUGCCAAACAUGUCUAAGCUGUGAUUGGAGCAACACAUGGGUAAAAAAUCACCCUUUCCAUAUAUGUUUGCAAACCCAGAUUUUAUGCUAAUUUAAUAUGAAAGGUACCAAUUUUAGUCGAAAGAAGAAAGUAGUCUGUUUUAUGCCAACGUUUUGAUUUUGUAGAUUUUAUCUCAACAAAUCAAAAUAGAUUUGAUACAAUAAAAACUUAUUUUAAAACAUCAUCACUAAUGGAAUAAGGGUUGAAUAAGACCACAAAAGUAGGUUAAUUUUUUAUACAGAUUCAAUUUGUUCAAGAAUAAAAAAAAUACAAAAAUCUCUCACACGUUAAAAUUAAAAAAUUCAGAAGUAUUAUUCAUCAAUGGCUGCCAAAAUUUAAGUUACAUAUGUUUAAAUAGUUUUGAGAAAUUAACCCUAAUUGAUUUAUUAUUAUAUGCUGAAUUGAUCCACUUAUAAAAAUUAACUAAAAACUUUUACUAAGAAACUCAAACUCUAAUUCAAACAAGCCUUAGGCUAUAGCAAACAAAAAUAAAAAUAAAACUCAUAAAUCAUAGUCUUUAUCUGCCCAAUGAUCCUAAAAAUCAAUAUGUUAUUAAAUACCACCCAUUUUGUUUCCUUGUGUAAUUAGGAUGAAUAAAAAUUCCUUGUAAGAAAAUGAUUUUAGAACAUUAAUAAAUUCUAACCAUACUUAGAAAUUAUGUUGUAACUCAUUAAAGAUCUUCAUAGAAAAAAGAUUUUUACCAAAUAGAAAGUCUAUAAGUCAAAAAGAAAAUAAAUAAUAAAAUUUAGAUAGUCUGUUCUGACAUAUAUUAGAAGCCCGUACCGAACACCGAUUCACCUGAAAGUUUGCCUCAAUAUAAAAAAUUAUCUUUAAAAUUUUAUCAUAAAAUUUUAAUUCAAUUCAAUAAUUUAGUUUAAAAUUAUAUUUAAUAACGUAUAAUUAUACCGUAAUUUUACUAUAUAAUUCGAAUCUACCUUCCAUAAAUAAAUAAAAUAUUGAAGAGAGACUUUGGGACGCCUCACAUCACGGGUGACCACAGGAGAGGUGGAUGCAUUGGAAUUUUGAAUGCCAAGUCUGUCAGUAUUUUUUUAAAAAAACAACUAUAUAUGCACGUCGUUUAAGGACCACCCACAAGUUGGCCUACUGGUAUUUCCAUUUACAAUUUUGGGGACCAAGAACUAGCUACCUACUGAUUACUCCUUUCAAUGUUGACAACUGUCCAACUAUAGAUAUUUAAUCGGCUUAUUUAUUGUUAUAUUUUUAUUAAUAUAUGUGUUCAAAUAUGUGUUCAAGUAAGCUUGUGUGCACCUCGACUAAUUAUACGAGCUUUGAAAUUAACGACCAUAUAAACCUCUACUGACCAUCAAUAUUAGCAACCACAAGGCUCGAACCUGAAACCUCAGGAGGAGCAAACAUUUUAGUCCCAAGCUCUUACUAUUGGGUCAACUACUAGAUAAUUGGCUUAUUUUAUACCAUAUUGCAUGUGGCAAAGGCCAAAAAAGCAACGACUUUUGCUCAUAGAAAUGGAUAUAUAUAUACUUAAGGGGUAUAAUUCAAUAAGUUAAAUCUUAAGUUUGCUCUAUAAAAAUUAUUAAUUUAAGUUUCACAAACCUCAAAACUAAUAGAGAUUUAAGUUUGCUCUAUAAAAAUUAUUAAUUUAAGUUUCACAAACCUCAAAACUAAUAGAGAUUUAUAUGGUUAUUAACUCUAGAAUCUUAAUAAUAUGCGUAAAAGUUCCGGACACCUACAAUUAAAAAAGAUUGAUAUAUAUGAAACACCCGAUGCAAUGGGCUGCGUUCAAUUUUAUUUUCUCCCAUUUAGGAUUUUUGUCUAAUAAACACACUCAAAAUGCAAUCAUUUAGUGUUUGUUCGGUAAUAUAGUAAUUUCUGUGGUUAUAAUUGAAAAAAUAAAUAUAAAUUAUAAUUUAAAAAUUAUCCUGUGCUUUGCUUAUUCAAAUGAUUUUAGUAGGAUAACAUGUUUAAUAAAUAAGCAUGCAAUUGGGUAGUGUGAAACCAUUAAAUUACAAACAAGCAUACGAUCGCUUGCUAGUCAACAAUCGCUAGCUAGUCAAGCUUGAGACAACCUUGAAACUUCAAGAUUAUGUCAACUUGAUGUUUGUCAAGUUAGAGAUAAGUUCAUUGAUGUUGGAAUUUGAAGUCUCCUCCACUGAUCCUUGAAAUGAAAAUCACUUCUUCUUUCGAAAAAGCAAUCUCUUCUGUUUUCACACUUCCAUGUUCAUUAUCUUUUUAGCUGUAGAUUGCCACCUUCCACUACAUGGGCGGCAGGUUACUAAUUCUAAACAAAAGACCGUGUGUCUCUUGGCUUUCCGCGAGCAGUGAUUUUCCAUAUCCAAAAGCCAAGCCCUGUGGACUGCAAUUCAAUGUUCAAAUUUGAUGGCAAAAAGUAAUUUAAAUGAACCGGCAAAUAAUUCAGAUCUAGAUGCCAUCUUCAUUACUUUAGAUUCGUGUAAAGUCAAAUCAUGCCAAAACAAGAAGCUCAAUCAUGUCGACUAGCUUGACUUUACUAACUGGAAGCCAUAAAGAAGCUGCCCACCCCUUCUUAAUUUGGUAGGAGCUCUUCAUGUAAUUUACUAAAACAUAUGCUAUAAAACUCAUGUCCAAAGUGUAACAAAACGAUUGGUGUCCUGAUGUUCAGUGGAACAUUAAGGCACCUCUUUGGUGCAUAUGCAGCCCUUCUUUUUCUACAGAUCAUAGCCAUCCACCAUAGCUGCAGUGCUAGAAAGAACAGCAAUUACUGCUCUCCUUCUUCCUGUGGAAACAUCCAUAAUAUCAGCUACCCUUUUCGAUUAAACACCGAUCCCAAAAGCUGCGGCCACAAAAGUUAUGAACUUGUUUGUGAAAACCAUCGUCCAACUUUAUACUUGAAGACGGUGAAAUAUUAUGUUCAGGCGAUCGAAUACAGUAACUUCACUGUUCGACUUGUGGAAGCUGCUGUUCAGAAGGAUGAUUGCUUCUCCAUACCUCAUCGAUCUCUCAUCGCAUAUGAUAAUUGCAUCAGCUACAGGAACUAUCUUCCAUAUAACUUUGGGUUCGAUAACCUUCGCACCGACUUUAUGACCUUUAGAUUAACUUUUAUAACUUGCGAAAAUCCUGUACUGAGUCCUCCAGACUAUAUAGUGGAUGCUUCUUCUUGCAAAAAUGGAAAUUCUACUGCAUUAAAUUCUACGUUCAGCUCCCGCAAUAAGGAAGGUUACUCCGAUGUCAUGGUUGCUGCCGACUUGGUGAAGGUACCGGACUUAUGCCGUAUAAAUUUGAUCAAUUCUGCCCCUGGAUCUGUUAUGCCAGAAAACAUGACCAAUAUUUCCUACAGAGAUGUCCAUGAUAUUUUGUUAUAUGGAUUUGAGCUUUCCUGGUACUCAGCUUGUUGUGAUUCUGUCAAUGAUAUCCAGUACUGCAACUAUGAUAGUACAUAUUGUGAUUCAUACGGUGCGUUUUCUUCUCUCUAUCUCUCUCUCAGCUUACCUUAAUUUGAAUAUAGAUUUCAUAACAGCACAAAUCUCUCUAUUUUAUACUUGAUAAAAGAAGGUGUUUUAUGCAAAUCCAUGACCAUUGUCUUGUUGUUGUGACAUUGCUUAAAGCUUUAUCUUGUUCUGGGUUUAUUAUAAGUUAAUUGGCCUAGAUAUAUAUCUUCCCAUUGAUCAUACAUAUUUUCUUCUUCUUGUUAGCUCUUGGUGGCUUUGAACUAUUUUUGUUUUUUUUUCUUUCAAACUACUAGAGGUAGUGUAGCACAUGUGCGGCGUCGCGGCGAAAAACUAGUGUUUAUUUCCAUUUUCUUAAUCUACAAUGUAAAUCUAUCUAUAUCUAUGGGGAUACCAGCAAAUACUGUCUUUUAUUGGUAGAAAAUGGAAUGGGAGUCGCCACCUAGUAUUUUGGUCACUAGGAACCCUAACUGGUCUCAGAGAUUGGGUACGGGGACUGGUUGCGAAAAAGGAAGGUAUUAGCACCCCAAAUACGCCCUACCUAAGGUAAGCUGCAUUGUUUUAUUGUCUGAUAAAAACUAAGGCGUUAUUGUGUUUUCCUAGUUGUUGAUCUGUCUAUGGUUCAAGAAAAAUCCUCCUCGGUAAGAAGGUCUUUAUCUUAUCAGGUAAAAUCCUAAUCGUUCUAACGUCCAUACCAAAAUUUUAUUAAUAAUAUUUAGGAAUACGUUUUACGUAUAAAUUUGUAAUCCCAAAUAAUAAAAGAAAACAAAAAGAUUUUUUUUAGAAUUUUUGAAAUAUUGGCCUAGUUCUCAUGGCUUGAAUAAACUGGCUAUUAAAGCCAAAAUGCAUGCUAAUACAUAUAUUGUUUUGAAAAUUUUCUUUGUUGUGUGAAAAUAUGAUGUUAUAAUAUUUAUAUAUAUAUAUAUAUAUAUUGGAGAGACUAGGCCGUAUUUUAAAACAAAAAAAACAAUUUUUGGAAAAUAUUAUUUUUUUUUAUGCUUUGACGAAAAUCGGGUAUUUUAAUACUGGGUUUGUAUCCUUACGGUAUAAAAAUACAGCCCAAUAUUAAUCCACUUUAAUAAAAAUAUGCAGAAAAAUCAACAACAUUUUUAGGGAUUUUUUUGAAAGCAAAAACAUUUUUUAUUCUAAAAAUCUUUGAUGUUUUGACGAAAACCGGGUCUUUUUAACACUGGUUUUGUAUCUUUACGGUAUAAAAAUACAAACCAACAUUAAACUAUUUUGACAAAAAUAUGCAAGAAAAUCAACAAUAUUUUUUAAGAUUUUUCAAAAUAUUUUUUUUUAAUAUAAAUAUUUUUUAUAUAUAUAUAACAUAUAUACACACAUAUAUACUAUAAUUUAUAAUAAUAUAUAAUAUAUUAUAUUAUGGGGCUGGGCCGGCCCAAAUUAAUGGGCCAGGCUCAGCCCAAAAAAAAGGGUCGGGCCGACCUCGGCCCAAAAUGGAUUUGGGACGAAAUCGGCCCAACAAAACUUCAAAACGGCACCGUUCGGUCUUCUUCUUUUUUUUUUUUUUUUUUUUUUUAUUUUAUGUAUGAAACGGCGUCGUUUUCUCCAAAACGCGCCGUUUCAUUUUAAAAAAAGGCGCCAGAAAUAUGUUUUUUCAAAUCAGUCCUUAAUUUGUCCUCUCUUCUAUUAAGUCCUCAAAUCUAAUCCUGAUUUUUGAAAAACACUUCAAUCGUGUCCUUGCCAAUUUCGGUCCCCGCCCCCAUAGUUGGCCGCGUUUUUCACUUUGGUCCUUGGCCUCUGAUUUAUGCAAUUUAGCCCUUAAUUGAUUAAUAAACUUUCAAUUUCUUCAAUUAGGCCCCUGAACCGAAUAAUUGCAGCCCCUCCAUUUACGCGCCUCUUCCAAUUUGGUCCCUGGUUUCGGAUUUUCUUAAUUAAGUCCCUAAUUGGCCAUUAAACUUCAAUAUUUAUGCAAUUAAACCCCUGAUUUGACCCAAUAAAUUCCUAAAACAUAUAUUUUGGCCCUAGAACUUAAAUUUCUUCUAAUUAAAGCCCAAAUUGACUUAAAAAUCAAAUUUUCUUGCACUCAAAUCCUCUAUAAAUUCAAUUAAAAAUCCAAUUAAGUCCAUAAACCUCCAAAUUUGGACUUUUCUCCUCAAAAAUCAAAUUGUUUUAUCCACCAGGGCUCUUAUCAUUCAAGAAUAUAUUGUCAAAAAUCCAUCUUUGUAUUUUUAACCUCCUUGACCAAUUUUUCUGAUCAUUUUCUGAGCACUUCUGCCUCCUGUUAUUUUUCUAACCUCCUUUGGCUAUUUAUUUUAUUUAUUUUUAUGGGGACCCGAAAAUGGGUUACAACAGAUGCCCCCUCUUUAUAAAGCUUACGGAGUAGAGGUUUUGCGCAGUAAGAUUUAUAAAGAUAAACCAAAUCUGAACUCCCGAAACUGAUCUGGUUGGAGCUUGAUCGCUCUGAAACUUUGUCUUUACAGCAAUCCUCCUCAGCCAAAAAAACUAUGAUCAAAAUUUAGUCAUCUCGAGAUCCCUCCUGGCGAUCUCCUUUAACCAAAAAAACUUGGAAUCCUAUCUGGCGUUUCCUUUUAACCAAGGCUGAAAAAUGAAGUCCCUUCUAGCGACCUCCUUUGACCAAUAUCGAAAUGCGAGAUCCCUUCUGGCGAUCUCAAUCAACUUGGAAUCUCAUCUGGUGAUUCCUUUACCCACAACCAAAUACAAAAAUGCAUGUGUGGUCUCAUUAUGAUGGGUGACCUCCCGAGUGGAAAAGGGAAAGAGUGGUCUCAUUCUUAUGGGUGACCUACCCAGGGGGAAGAAUGGCCUCAUUAUUAUGGGUGACCUACCCAGGUAAAAAAAGAUGAAGAAUGGUCUCAUUCUUAUGGGUAACCUACCCAGAAAAAUAAUGGUCUUAUUGUAUGGGUGACCUACCCAAGAAAAAUAAUGGUCUCAUUGUAUGGGUGACCUACCCAAGUGGAAAAAGGAAGAGUGGUCUCAUUCUUAUGGGUGACCUACCCAGAAAAAUAAUGGUCUCAUUGUAUGGGUGACCUACCCAAGUGGAAAAAAAAAGAGUGGUCUCAUUCUUACGGGUGACCUACCUAGGGGGAAGAAAUGGUUUCAAUAUGAGGUCCCUUCUGGCGACCUUCCUUAAUGAAUGUCGAAGUACGAGAUCCCUUCUGGCGAUCUCAAAUAACUUGGAAUCCCAUCUGGCGAUUCUUUUUAUACAAAAGCUGAAAUUUAAAGGUCCCUUCUGGCGACCUCCAUCGAAAUACGAGAUCCCUUCUGGCGAUCUCAACAACUUGGAAUCCCAUUUGGUGAUUCCUUUUUACCGAAUGCUAUCGAUGUCCUUCCUGCUGGCAGGGUUUGAAAACCAUUAUCUUCUCUUCUUGUUGUUCUAGAAUCAACUCAAUGAUUCUUUCUUCAUCCAUAAUCUUGUUGGAAUGUGCUAAGAUCUCCUCCUGUAACGAUCCAUAAAAACAUAUAUGCAAAUGAUUUAUGAUUAGAUGCAAUGCAUGCAUUUGUACCUGGUUUUGAAACAUAGGCCCCAUCCUCUUCUUCUAGUUCAUGAGACUCCCUCUUAACAUGAACUUGCUUUUGAAGUCGUAUGCUGGAUUCAUCUCUCGUGUUGCCUAUCAUAUGAAGUCUUUGACUUUCUUCAAGUAGUCCUUUUCUUAAAAUGUAUGACUUGUAUUUGCCUCUUUGUCAUGCUUUUGUCAAAUGCUUUAGCUUGGUUUUCAAAUCUAUAGGCUUCCAACCAAUUUUAAACACGUAAAACUUUUCAUAAAACAUCUCGUCUUGCCCCUAGUGUAGGGGUGUGAUCCUAGUUCGGGUUUUUAUAUAGAGAAGAAAUUCAUUUAGCCAGUGAUAAACUUUUUUAGUGAGUGAAGAGAUAAUGAUUUUUUUUUUCAUUUCAAAAUGCACAUUGUUAUGGUUGAUAAACUCUAUUCUUUAAAAGACAAUUACAGAUGAUUAUAAAGUGACCACUUAAUCAUUUAUCCAUGCAAUUCAUUAUGCUAUCAAUGAUAGGGUUGUACUUUAGGGUUAGCUUUUCUUAAAUUUCAUAUUAAACCAUUUUAUGAUACUUUAUUUGUAACCACUCAAACUUGUUCAAAAAGUGCAUAAACUCAUCAUUUAUUUAAAGAAAAGGUAGGCUCAAAGACAAACACAAAAUCUGGCUGACAUCAUGAGCCCUGAUUGCCCACUAGAGAAAAUAAAAGCAAUGACAAAAGCAAAUGACAAAAACAUGCUAAGGCAAAUAAAGUUGUUUUACAUUUUGAAAACUACGAGAAGUUCUUGGGUCAACCCGUUCUGAAACUUCUUCUAGUGUGUGGAAAGUCAACCGAGGCAAUGCUUCAUCUUCCUUCCCCACUUGCGUUUCCUUGUCUUCUCCUUCGAUCUCGCCUUCUUAUUGACGAUUCUUUGACCAAGGUUUUCCAACCUUUAUCCCCUAUCACUUUUGUCAUGACCAGGCAAUGGAUUUGAUGAUAUUGGGUGUGUCUUCAAAUGACACCCAUCCUAUCUUGAUGAGCUUCAACAACUUGUUCUUGAAACGUAGCACGUUUCAAGACAAUGCCCGGGAAUACCAGCAUGGUACUCGCAAGUCAACUCGGGCUUAUACCAGAUGGGGAAUGGUGGUUAGUGGUAAUGUAGGGAUAGGAGCUAUUUGUCCAAUGCUCAGUAGUUUGGCAUAUAUGUCCUUCAGAGGCAUGGGUAAUGGCGGUAGUUGUUCUGAAAUGUAUCUUGUGUUUGGUCUUUGGUGGUUGUUUUGGGUGUUUGACUGGAUUUGCUCGAUUAAGGGAAAAAGGUUUGUUAAAGUUUAUGUGGGCCACAUGAGAGGUAGGUAUUUGUGGGUUAUAUGAAUCCGUUAUCUUGUCAUUGGACCCACCUUCGAAGUUGUUAACGGGACCUUUCAUUUUUCUUCCGAAAAAACCCUUUGUCUCCAAUGGCUCAAUUAUGCGUCCAGCUUUAAUCCCUUGCUCUAUUCUUUCCGCUAUGCGUACAACAUCAUAGAAAUGUUGAGAUGAGCUACCCAUUAAAUGCUCAUAGUAGGGUGCCUUGAAUGUAUUGGCGAACAAAGUCACCAUCUCCGUUUCUAUCAAAGGGGGUUGCACAUGCAUGGCCUCGUCCCUCCAUCUUUGCGCAUAAGCCCUUACUGAUUCUUGGCUUCUCUUUUCCAUUGACAUAAGGCUCGUUCGAUCUGGAGCAAUUUCCAAAUUGAACUUGUAUUGCUUAAGGAAAGCCUCAACUAAAUCCUUCCAUUUCUUGAUCUUGGCAUUAUCCAGCCUCAUGUACCAACUUAGCGCCGACCCCGAUAGACUGUCUUGGAAAAAGUAGAUCAGUAACUUAUCGUCAUGAAUCACCUCAGCCAUCUUAUUGCAAUAAGAUCGAAGGUGAGUGUUUGGGCAUUCCAACCCAGUGUACCUUAUAAACUCCGGUAUCCUAAAAUCUUUUGGUACCGUGAUGUUUGGUACCAAGCAUAUUUCAGACGCUCGCAUGGGGUCAAACCAGUCAUUUCCCUCGACUGCUCUUAACCUUUCUUCCAAGGCUGAUAUCUUGUCAUCGUUCAUAAAUCCAGUGGACCUAUUAUCGGAAGGCCCAUCUGCAAUAAUGUGAGCUUGAGGGGGCUGAAUGGGAAUGGCAGGCAAAGUGCUGCCCCGUCACUGAAUCUGCCCCCAAGUUCUGAGAUACCCCCGGGACAUGAACUGACGGUGCUCCUAUAGGUGGUUGGGUAGACGUUCCCUCCCCGUUCUUGGCUCUUAAAAGUUGCUCAAGCAGAUUGGUCAGUCGAGAAACUUCAUUUUUCACAGAUUCCAACUCGGUCUGGUAGUGCUACUCUAAGUGAGCUCUUUCUUCAUUUUCCAUUCUUGAUCUGGUCCGGGUUUGGUGGACUCUGGAUGUGGGACCUAUGUUUCACGAUCUGGAAUGCAUGUGAUAAUUUAAAAAAAUAAAAUGCGUGAUGAAAAUGUGAUGCGCGAUGAGUAUAAUAUUGCAAAAAAGAUACAUAACCUAAGGACAAGCUCUAUUUAUUAAGUGAGAGUGGGUAGAUUUUCUAUCCAGUCUUGAAGGUUCUCAUAUCUGCCCAGUGACGUUCUUCGUAAAGACAGUAUGAGGGCGUUGCAAGGAACAAUUAAGACACGUAUGCCCACCAUUACCAAGCAGGCACUCAGAUAUGAGUUGGGUGUUUCACGCAUUUAAACCCUGACCAAUAGUCUUAGGGUAAAUCGCUAAAUCCCCACUUAACUUAAAGCUUGUGUGUGCUUUUCAAAAUAAAAGCAAGUGAUGCAUGAGACAAUUUUAUACAAUGCAUAAAUAAUACGCGUAAAAUAAAAAACAAAUAUGCAAAUAAACGGAAAGGCAUAUUAACAAUAAACACAUGAAAACACAAACAAAUCAGACAAAAACAAAGCUUAGUCUACAAGGUCCCCAGUGGAGUCGCCAUUCUGUCGCACGUGUGCGGCGUCGCGGCGAAAAUAAUAGUUUUUCCAUUUUCUUAAUCUACAAUGUAAAUCUAUCUAUAUCUAUGGGGAUACACAAAAUAUCUUUUAUUGGUAGAAAAUGGAAUGGGAGUCGCCACCUAGUAUUUUGGUCACUAGGAACCCUAACUGGUCUCAGAGAUCGGGUACGGGGACUGGUUGCGUAAAGGGAAGGUAUUAGCACCCCAAAUACGCCCUACCUAAGGUAAGCUGCAUUGUUUUAUUGUCUGAUAAAAACUAAGGUAUUGUGUUUUCCUAGUUGUUGGUCUGUCUAUGGUUCAAGAAAAAUCCUCCUCGGUAAGAAAGGCUUUAUCUUAUCGGGUAAAAUCCUAACCGUUCUAACGUCCAUACCAAAAUUUCAUUAAUAAUAUUUAGGAAUACGUUUUACGUAUAAAUUCGUAAUCCCAAAUACUAAAAGAAAACAAAAAAAGAUUUUUUGAAUUUUUGAAAUAUUGGCCUAGUUCUCAUGGCUUGAAAAACUGGUUAUUAAAGCCAAAAUGCAUGCUAAUACAUAUAUUGUUUUGAAAAUUUUCUUUGUUGUGUGAAAAUAUGAUGUUAUAAUAUUAUAUAUAUAUAUUGGAGAGACUAGGCCGUAUUUUAAAACAAAAAAAAACCUUUUUUGGAAAAUAUUAUUAUUUUUUAUGUUUUACAAAAUCGGGUAUUUUAAUACUGGGUUUGUAUCUUACGGUAUAAAAAUACAACCCAAUAUUAAUCCACUUUGAUAAAAAUAUGCAGAAAAAUCAACAACAUUUUUAGGGACUUUUUAGAAUUUUUUUGAAAGCAAAAACAUUUUUUAUUCUGAAAAUCUUUGAUAUUUUGACGAAAACCGGGUAUUUUUAACACUGGUUUUGUAUCUUUACGGUAUAAAAAUACAAACCAACAUUAAACCACUUUGACAAAAAAUGCAGAAAAUCAACAAUAUUUUUUAAGAUUUUUCAAAAUAUUUUUUUUAAAGAAAUAUAUAUAUAUAUAUAACAUAUAUACACACAUAUAUAUUAUAAUUUAUAAUAAUAUAUAAUAUAUUAUAUUAUGGGGCUGGGCCGGCCCAAAUUAAUGGGCCAGGCUUAGCCCAAAAAAAGGGUCGGGCCGACCUCGGCCCAAAAUGGAUUUGGGACGAAAUCGGCCCAACAAAACUUCUCCAGUCUGGGCCAGGACCGGCCCAGACUUGCAAGGCUGGGCCAGCGUCGGGCUGGCCCAGCAGCCCCAGGCCCAGCGGGGGAAGAAUUAAUUUUCUCCCCCCCGCCUCCUGCAUGCAGAAUGCAUGCAGGAGACAAACCUGCAGAAGACAAAGAAAAUAGGGGGAGAAGAAAAUGUACCUGGCGUGGAGGAGGCGGUCGCUGGAGGUGCUGCGGUGGCGUGGCUCGCGGACGGCGGCUCCGGGCGGUGUUACUGUCGUUCCUAACGGCGGCGAGAAACUUCUUCCUCUUCCUCUUUCCCCCGUUUAUUUUCUGUGGCUUUCUCAGUGGCUUUCUCUGCCUCGGUUUGUUUUUGGUUUUCGGUUUCGGUUUCUUUGUUUUCGGUUUGUUACUGCUCUCCUCUCUAUUUCGUUCGUUCUUUCUCUUCUCCCUCUCCUCUCUCUCUCUCUCUAUUCCUCUCGGAUUUUUCCUUUCUUUUUCCCUCUGCUUCUGCUUCUUUUUUUUCGUCCGUCCCUGUUUCCUUCGGGUCACCUGCUUUUAUAGGGGGAGAAGGAGCCUUGGGAGCGAACCAAUGCGGAGGCUGGUCGGCCAUUGGGCGCGACUGCCAAGGCGCAGCUCCCUUGAUUCUGGUGGGGUGCGCGGCGGGUGGUCAGCCAGUGUCUUCGGUCGGUGGUCCAACGGCGUGUGGGCUUCGGUCUGGUCGGUAGGAGAGGGGGACAUGCACCAUUAAAAAAAACUUUCUUUUUCCUUCUUCCCCGCUGCCUGUUCGGGGGGGGAAGAAGAAAGGGGAACAGUGCCGUUCAAAACGGCACCGUUCGGUCUUCUUUUUCUUUUUUUUUCUUUUUUAUUUUAUGUAUGAAACGGCGUCGUUUUCUCCAAAACGCGCCGUUUCAUUUUAAAAAAAAGGCGCCAGAAAUAUGUUUUUUCAAAUCAGUCCUUAAUUUGUCCUCUCUUCUAUUAAGUCCUCAAAUCUAAUCCUGAUUUUUGAAAAAAACUUCAAUCGCGUCCCUACCAAUUUCGGUCCCCGCCCCCAUAGUUGGCCGCGUUUUUCACUUUGGUCCUUGGCCUCUGAUUUAUGCAAUUUAGCCCUUAAUUGAUUAAUAAACUUUCAAUUUCUUCAAUUAGGCCCCUGAACCGAAUAAUUGCAGCCCCUCCAUUUACACGCCUCUUCCAAUUUGGUCCCUGGUUUCGGAUUUUCUUAAUUAAGUCCCUAAUUGGCCAUUAAACUUCAAUAUUUAUGCAAUUAAACCCCUGAUUUGACCCAAUAAAUUCCUAAAAAAUAUAUUUUGGCCCUAGAACUUAAAUUUCUUCUAAUUAAAGCCCAAAUUGACUUAAAAAUCAAAUUUUCUUGCACUCAAAUCCUCUAUAAAUUCAAUUAAAAAUCCAAUUAAGUCCAUAAACCUCCAAAUUUGGACUUUUCUCCUCAAAAAUCAAAUUGUUUUAUCCACCAGGGCUCUUAUCAUUCAAGAAUAUAUUGUCAAAAAUCCAUCUUUGUAUUUUUAACCUCCUUGACCAAUUUUUCUGACCAUUUUCUGAGCACUUCUGCCUCCUAUUAUUUUUCUAACCUCCUUUGGCUAUUUAUUUUAUUUAUUUUUGUGGGGACCCGAAAAUGGGUUACAACAAGUAGUAUAAUCAAUCUUAACAGUACAUUGUAAUGACAAAAAAAGGGGAAAAAAACGAAAAGAAAGAAAAUUGAUUCUACUGAAAGUGUUAAUGUUUGUGUCUUCAAGCUCUUGCUAUAUACAUAUUUCCUUCAUAUCCCAACUAAACACAACUUCGAAUCUUCAUUUCCUUCCUGGCUGCUGGAGUGUGGUACUGUUUUGGUUAUCAAGCUAGUUUUUUAUUUCAGCUGGGCCAGAGAUUUGUUCAUGUCCUGUGGUUUUUCCUUUUCCGUUGUUUGUUGCAGCUUUUUUCGUUUGCUUGACUGUUGCUUUCCUUGGCAGUCCUUUAUAUUUGUUACUAUCUCCAUGUUAGCCUAUUUGAUCUUACGGUUCUUUAUUUCAAUCAAUUAGGUAUUCAAUGACAACGCAAACCUUCAAAACUCAAGUAAUUUGAUGAUUUCUUCUUUUAUAUGAACGCAGGCCUCAAUGGUGCUCCUAUCAGAGUGGCAAUAGGUGACACCUCUUGUCUUUGUCUGUGAUAAGGGAAUUUUUAGCAUUUAUAUUUUCUACUAUUAAUGCUUGAUUUUAAAAUAUUUUGGGUAUGUUGCACAAGAAAAUUAGAAUUUUGAAUCUCUUUUUGAACUAUUGACCUCGUGGGAAAUUAAUGUGUUUUCAGAUCUUAGGUUACUGAACAGGCAGAGCCCGACAGUAAAACUGAACAGUGAUUCAUUAUGUGCUGCAAAAGAAACUAUACAAUUUAGUUCCAGAUGUUCAUCACCAUUUUCAAAUAGCUGAGAUGAAGGUCUACAAAACAUAUGAAGGGCAUAUAACUCAGUUUUGUUGUUUCGAAGCCCAAAAAGUGAGUUGAAAAACAAGGAUUGAACCAGCCCGAAAUUCCUGCACUGCAAAGACUGUUUCGGUUUAUGGCCCUUAUCUCAACGCUCAGACGUCCAAAAAUUGCAAGAUCAGUUUCGUUGGAAAGAAAAUUUGAUUCUCUACAAUUCCUCCAGAAAUAUAAAUCUUUUAAUUCGCACGUUUUCUACCUCAAAUCUGGUCCGCAAUGUCUGAGUAGGAAGGAAUUCAAUGCAGAAAAGGAAACUUUCCUCAUUACUGCAGGGGUAGAAAAGCCACAAUAUAAAAGAAGGUAAGGGGAUCUGAAAACAGGGGAAUUUUAAGACACGUAGAAACCCUAUAACAUAGAAAAGAAAAAGAGGGGAGGCGGCACCAAGAGGAAAAAAAGAACAAAGGCAAAAAUAUUGAAGACAAUUCUGUGCUUUUGAGUGAUGUUCAUCGUAUCAAGUUUGUUUCUCUUUAAUUUAACUAUGGAGUAGACUUUGAUUCUGAGAUUUUUGAUGUAACCUUACUAUGAAUAUGUGAACAAUUUCUUCGAUUGAAUUAUUACAUUAAGAUGUUGAGUAUUUCAUUCUAUUUGUAAUGUUUGCGUGUGUUUGGCCAACAUUUACAUGAUUUAGAAUUCAAUUUGAAACUGAGAAGUAAUAAUUGUUUUAGCUAUUGUUUGAAAUACCUUAAGAAAUCUAUAGGAUAGAGAUAUCCUAGGAACUUUUGUAAUCAUUACAGGUUUUACAGUACUUAAUAAAUUUCGACAAGUUCAGAACUUUCGUAGAGUAUAUGAAAUUUGUUUGUCGAAAUAAUUUAUUGAUGCUCAAGAGAGAUUAAUAUUUACAUUAGUUAGAAUUAAUUGAGAGAUAGUUUUGUGUUUAAUUGUGUUGGAUGCUUAAGAGUAGCAGCCAUCCUUUGUAUUUAUACUUGUAGGGUUGUGUACAAUAUAAUGGUGGGAUGUAUUACAUACUAUAACUAUUACUAUGUAGGAGUGUUUACAUUGUAUUCAAACUCUUUCCUUAAUACACCCCGUCAAGCUGAAGGUGGAGAUUCCACCCGAAGCUUGGAUCGAAAGUAAGCAAACGAGACUGGAGGAAGAGGCUUGGUAAGGACAUCAGCUAGUUGAUCUUUGGAAGAUAUAAACCGUACCUGAAUUUCUUGCUUAGUAACACGAUCACGGACAAAGUGAUAAUCAACUUCAACAUGUUUAGUACGAGCGUGAAAUACUGGAUUUGCAGAUAAGAAGGUGGCCCCUAAAUUAUCACACCAUAACGUGGUCACAGUCGAAGAAGGAAUCCGAAGUUCUGUCAAUAAUGAGCGAAUCCACAAAAUCUCAGCAGUACCAUCAGCUAAGGCUUUCUAUUCCGCUUCAGUAGAGGAUCUCGCAACAGUGCGUUGUUUCCCGGAUUUCCAUGAGAUAGGGGUAGAGCCAAGAUACACAAGGUAACCACCUAUGGAUUUUCGAUCAUCAAUACUACCACCCCAAUCAGCAUCUGUGAAACCAUGAAGAGACAGGGGAGAAUCCCUAGUGAUGUGCAGACCAUAAGUUGCUGUAGCCUGGAGGUAACGCAGGAUGCGUUUAAUAGCAGACCAAUGAUCCUCAGUGGGGGCAUGCAUAAAUUGACAGACCUUGUUGAUUGCAUAGCAGAUAUCAGGUCUAGUGAAGGUAAGAUAUUGUAAUGUCCCAACAAUUUGUCGAUACCGUAUGGGAUCAGAGUAGAGAGUACCUGGUAUGAGUCCUAAUUUGGAGGAGGCAGAUAGAGGAGUAUCAACUGGUUUGCACGAAGUCAUACCUGCUUGUUGGAUGAUAUCGAGAGCAUACUUAUGUUGGCUUAAUAAGACACCCAUAGCAGUAGGUUUAACUUCAAUGCCCAAGAAGAAAUGAACAGAACCCAAAUCCCGAAGCUUAAAUUCUGAUUGCAGCAAAGUAAUCAAUCUAUGAAGCAUAGUUGAAUUACUUCCGGUUAAUAAAAUAUCAUCAAUAUACACAAGCAGGUAAAUCAUGGCACCAUUAUGAGAGAGAAUAAACAGAGAAGUAUCACCCUUGGAUGCCUGCAAUCCAAUGGAUAGUAAGAACUCACUCAACCGGUUGUACCAAGCACGAGGGGCUUGUUUCAAACCAUACAGAGAUUUAUGGAGACGACACACAUGAGACGGGAGUGCUGGAUCAACAAACCCAGGCGGUUGCGCCAUGUAAACCUCUUCCUGAAGAAUGCCAUUUAGGAAAGCAUUAUGAACAUCCAACUGAUGAAUGGUCCAUCCAUAUGAAACAGCAAUAGUGAGCACAAGGCAAACCAUUGUAGGCUUGAUCACUGGACUGAACAUCUCCAAAUAAUCAAUCCCUUCUUGCUGAGUGAAGCCACGGGCAGCUAACCGUGCUUUAUAUCGGGCGACCUGACCAUCAGCAUGUCUUUUUAUCUUGUAAACCCAUCUACUGCCAAUCACAUUCAUAGUUGGAUGGGGAGGCACCAACGUCCAAGUCUGAUUAGAGUGAAGUGCCCGAAGUUCCUCUUGCAUGGCAGUGUCCCAAGUCACAUACCUGUUUGCGUCCUUAAAUGACAAUGGCUCAUGCUGAGGUAAGGUCAUGACUCGUGAGACAGCCGCAAUGCUAAGAUUAGCAUUUCUUUCAGGCUGUGGGCGAAGCACCAUAGGAUGGGUGCGAGCCCGCUGAGAUGGAGAGGAGACCAGUGGCAGGGACGUGCUGAAGAUUGAACUUAGAUAGAUCAACACAUAUGUUAAUUCCAGGAGGGGAAAGAGAGGAAGAACCUAUGGGUGAAGACCUCAAUAGAAGCGCAGACCGUGGUGGAGACCUAACAGAAAAAGCACCCACAACAGGGGAGCGAAUAGGGGAGAAACCAGGGGAGCUAGCAGCAGCAUCGGACGAUGCCUGUGAGUGUGAGGAAUCUGAACCUACAAUUAAAGAAUGAUCAUAAUAACAUGCAGAUAAUGGUAAAUGAGCCGAAGGAGGUGUAGGCAGUCUAUUGGGCAGUGGUGAAGGAACUAACGAGGGUUGCAUGAGAGGAAGUAAAGUGACGGGUAUAGAGGGAGUUGAGGGUUGUUUGGGUGUUGCUGCAAUCUGUUCAGUUUUAUCAAAAGGAAAAACAGUUUCAUGAAACUGGACAUGACGUGUAAGAUAAAUUCGUUUGGAUGACAAAUCAAGACAUCGAUAACCGACAUGCGAGGUACUAUAUCCUAGGAAAAAACAAGGUGUGGACCGAAAAUCUAAUUUGUGAGCAUUGUAUGGACGAAGAAAAGGAAAGCAGAGACACCCGAAAGUACGAAGAAACGCAUAAUCAGGAGUCGAUUUUAACAGACAUUCAAAUGGUGUCUUAUUAUUAAGGACUGGAGUGGGCAUGCGAUUAAUUAAAUAAACAGAACUUUCAAAAGCAUAACUCCAAUAUUUAAGGGGAGCAUGACACUGACCAAGGAGAGUGAGUCCAGUUUCAACAAUAUGUCUAUGACGGCGUUCAACCAUGCCAUUUUGUUCAUGAGUGUGCGGGCAGAUCACACGAUGAUGAAUACCAAUCGUUUUAAAAUAUGUAUUUAGUUUUUGAUAUUCACCACCCCAAUCGGUUUGAACAGACUUAAUUUUUAAGGAGAAUUGGUGCUCCACAAGCGCCUGAAACUGAUGAAAAAUUGCAAAAACAUCAGACUUAGCAACCAAGGGAUAAAACCAUAUGAAUUUUGUAUGAGCAUCCACAAAAAUAACAAAAUAGCGAAAACCAUCAGAUGAAAACAUAGGGGAUGGACCCCAAACAUCACUAAAAAUCAAGUCAAGAGGAGCUCGAGUUUGAUGACCCGUAGGUUUUAGAGUCAGACGCGAUGACUUGCCUAGAGGGCACGUAGGACACUGAAAAUUAAACUUAGUGGACGUACAUGACACUUUUUUAUUUUUCACUAGCAAAUGCAGAAUACGUGGACUAGGAUGUCCAAGUCGACGAUGCCAGACAUCAGCUGAAGUAGAUAGACAGUAGAGGAAAAAGCUUGAGGCAACGACGUUGCGGACGACGCGGACAAAACAUAUAGACCAUCUUUACUCUGACCGGAAAGAAGAACUGCCUUUGUCAUGAGAUCCUUAACAUAAAAUAGAGAGGAAUGAAAUUCAAAAAACACGUUAUUCUCAAGACAAAAUUUUUGAACAGAUAGCAGAGGUUUUUUAAUGGUAGGAACAUGUAAGAUAUUGGAUAACGUAAAAUGCGGUUUGGUGAGCGAAUUUUGGAGUGAGCAAUAUUUGAGAUAACAAGGCCCUUACCAUCACCAACAUGCAGAUGAUCAUUUCCAAGAUAAGGUUCUGAACUCGUCAUACUUACAAGAUCUGGCGUGACAUGAUGAUUUGCACCUGUAUCAGGAAACCAAGUAACAGGAGUGGUGGAAGGGCAGUAUUAAAUGCAAGAUUAGCAUUAGCUUGCAUAUGAUGAGUAGCCAACUGAGAACACUGUUGAGCAGUAUGCCCAUAUUCAUAACAUAGCUGACAUUUUAUAUUGCGAGGAUAGCCACCAAACGAUUUCCUUGCUGCCCAAAAUACCUGUUGGCCGUGAAGAAGCCAGAUGAGAACCGGUUCCAUGUGAGCUGUAUUGUUGUCCUGAAGUAUAAACUUUUGCUGGUCCAUUGCCACGAUAAAAGCUUCGAUUAUUAGGUCUCCAGCCCCCACGAAAAUGAUCCCGUCUGCUAGAUUGAUGUUGCACAAAGAACCCAGCUGGCUGUUGCAUUGGAGUUGGUAACAGAAGGGCUGUUACAGAUGGCUGAAGAGAGGCUUUGUGAAGGAACUCAUGUGUAAGAAGGCUGCUAUAAAGAUCAGUAUAGCUGAUGGGGGCAUCCUUAGUGGACAAGCUGGUGACAAGAUCCUUAAACUCACUGUAUAAUCCACGAAAAACAUACAAGUUAAAUUCUGUCAGGGAGAUUGGUCUGCCAACGGCAGCUAGUUCAUCAAACAAGGCCUUUGCCUUCUGCAAGUAAAUGCUGGCAGUAUCAUCAUUCUGUCAUAAUUCCUAGAAUGAGUCGUGGAGCUGCAUAAUCCUGGAAUUGGAGGGGGAGGCAAGAGUUGUUUCCAGUGUUGUCCAGAUGGCAUGGGAAUUGGUACAAUCUACAACCAGGUGCAGAACUUCCACCAAGAGAGAAGAUAGGAGGGCACUCAUGAUUAGGUGAUCUUGCUGCUUCCAUGACAAAUAUGCAGGGUUGAUAGAGAGUGUAAAUGUCUCAGCCGAUGCCAAAUGUGAAGGAGGACAUGGUGAUGUGCCAUCAACAAAAGAAUAAACGCCUUGGCCCAAAAGAAAGGGUUUCAUUUGCAUCCUCCAAUAUAGGAAAUUAUGGUUAGAGAGUUUUAAAGAGACUACCUGGUGUGUGUUAGGAAGAGGAAUAAUGGAGGCAGUAGGCGCUGCCCCAUACAUAACUGAUUGCGCCACAGGGGAAAAAGAAGAUUGAAGAACUGAUGCAGCGCCAGCAGACUGUUGGAGUUCUUGAUUGUCCAUGUUGCUAGGGAGGAGAAGUUGCAGUUUUUACUUCGUGAGAAGUGGCAGAUGAAGAAGAUGAGUGAUCUCUGCUAAGGAGAAACUGCUGCUUGUGACUCUUAAUAGAGGAAGAACAGCUGCUAAGAAUUAAGGAGGGCUGCUGGUUGAAACAGCUACGCAGGAGAAUUACAGCUGUUGUGGAAGAAGGCUGCUAAACAAUAACCGCAGCUCUGAUACCAAGUUAGAAUUAAUUGAGAGAUAGUUUUGUGUUUAAUUGUGUUGGAUGCUUAAGAGUAGCAGCCAUCCUUUGUAUUUAUACUUGUAGGGUUGUGUACAAUAUAAUGGUGGGAUGUAUUACAUACUAUAACUAUUACUAUGUAGGAGUGUUUACAUUGUAUUCAAACUCUUUCCUUAAUAACAUUAGAAAAACCUGAUUAUCAACAUUAGGAGUAAUUAAUUUAAUCGAGAAAGUUCACAUAGGCAUAGUUACGGUAAGUCAGAAAUCCUAGAACCAGUACAAUUGAAUUCUUUAAUAUUUAAUCAAUUACUUGUUACUUUUUAAUCAUUAAUUUUUGUUUCAUAAAUUAUCUCAUUCAAUUCCUCAAAUAGAUCAUAAUUUAAAAGACUUUGGUAAUUAGUAGUAAUUUUUACAAAUCCUCGUGGGACGAUACUCUACUCAUCACUUUAUUACUUGUUACGAUUUGUGCACUUGCGAAAUUAACCAACAGUCUGCCAAUAAAUAUUACCAAUUAUUGAGAUCACUAGUUUCUUUAAAAAUUAUUUGUUUUUUCUUGCAGACUUUUCUGACUAAUCGCAUACUCAGUUAUCUCAGUACGAACCUGUCUUUUUCUUUAUUCAAACAUGAAGUCUAAACUGCAUGCAUGGAAAACAAUUUUAAUUACAUGAAUUGGUUCUGCAAAGGCUGAACACUGACAUGACCUUCUCUUUUCUUCGCGAUGAAGUCUUUGGGCCGAUAACCAAGUAUUUUCCAAGUAUUUCCAAGUGGAACAUGGAUAUACUAUUCAAGAAGAGGGGGUGAGUUAAUUUAGAGUUCUUUUUUUGGUAAUCUAGAAUUGUUUCAUUAAUGAUAGACAAUAUGUGCAGAAAAACCAUUUAAAAGCAUUAUAUAGGGAAUAAGUUAUGAUUAAUUACUUUAUUUCUUUCUUGUACAUGAUUGCCACUUGUUUACUAUCUAUAAGAUUUCCCCAUAUUGAUUUUUCUCCUUUUCUAUAAAUCUUGUAGGACAACCGCAUCUGGGAUUCUGAAUUUACAAAGGUAAAUUACAAUAACUCUCGAGUUAUCAUGUAAAUAUUGAGAUUAUCGAGUUCAUCUAAAAAACCUUUUUAAUAGUAUUUAUUUAUUUUCAAAUGUCUUCAUGUUUUCAUAUGGCAUAAUACUAUACGUAUGUUGGGACCAAGACCAUAUCUUCAGAUUUUCUCAGAAUAAUCAUCGUUUUGCUCAUAGAACUACUUAUUUUCACUGGUAAGUACUUUCCUAUGCUUCUUUGGAUUCGUUGUAGAACAUGAAAUGCGUGCAUUGUAAGAUCAAAACAUAAGAUUAAAAGAAAAAUGGAAAAGCGCAAGAAAGUAUCUUCAAUGACUUUGGUUUCAUGGAAAUAAGCCCUUCAACUUUUUAGUUUUUCUAAUUGAGUCUAAUUCUUUAAUUUUAUUAGCAAAUUUAAUGACUUAAAAAAAUCCAAAGCUAAGAUGGAUAAAAUCAAAAUUCACUAAGAUGCUCCGUGAAAAAUUCUUUUUUUCUUGCAUUUUUGUAAGAAGUUUUUACCUUUUGGUGCAAUGGAUUUGGGAUUUGAAAAAAGUUGAUGCUUCCAUCGAUACAUAGUAAGCUUGUAAGGAUUUAUCAGGAGGCAAACACAACGGAAAUCACAUUUCAUUUAUAAAAUAAUUUUGAUGCGACAAUCUAUCAAAUUAGCACUAUUUCAUUUUGUCAUUGAUUGUUCUUGUUGUUUCUCUGCACAAUGAUAUUUCGUGCAAUAUUAUUCCUUUUUGGGCUUUCAUGCCUCGUGACCUAUUUAUUCUACACAUGGCGAAGAAGGCACUUAUCAAUGUAUGACAUCAUUGAAGAGUUCUUGUAGAGUAAUGGACAAGACUUUACCAAUGAAAUUGACACCAUCGGAAGAAUUUACCAUGUCAAUGUGGUGUAGCUUAUAGGCUUUACCGCCGAGGGAUCAAAGCAUGGUCUUAUAUAUGAGUUCAUGCCUAAUGGUUCUCUUGAUAAGUAUAUUUUUCCUAAACAAGGUAGCGUCACAUUAAGUAAAGAGAAAAUGUUUGACAUUUCUCUUGGGAUUGCUCGUGGCAUUGAUUAUCUGCAUCAAGGUUGUGAUAUGCAAAUCUUGCAUUUUGAUAUCAAGCCUCACAAUAUUCUUCUCGAUGAGAAGUUUGUUCCAAAGAUUUCAGAUUUUGGAUUAGCAAAAUUGUACCAACAAAUAAUGGCACUGUGGCCCUCACUGCGGCUAGAGGAACAAUGGGAUACAUAGCUCCUGAAUUGUUCUACAAAAAUAUUGGAGGCGUGUCUUACAAAGCAGAUGAUUAUAGUGGCAUCAUGGUAUAUACAAUUAAAACCCGAGGAUCAUCCCUCAAUGCAUGAAGUUGUAAAGAUGCUCGAAGCUAAUGUUGAAUCCCUGCAAAUGUCUCCUAAACCUUUUCUCACCACCUUACAACAAAUGCCAAAACAUGAUGAUGUGGCCAAUCAAUCAGAUAUGUCAAGUUAUUGUAUAAAUUCCUCAUAUCAGUUUGGUCGUUAAUAAAUAUAUAAUUGUUUGUUUAUAGAUUUCAAUAAUGGAUUAAUGAAGUGUUCGAGAUGUAUUUAUUAUAUCAAUCAAGCUCUUCAUGCUUUUAUUGAAUCCAAGUAACAGCCAGAGCAUCACACGCCAGCAUUAAAACAUGAAUUUUCUAAAAUUAUAUCAUUAAUCUUAGUACCUAUAUAUUCAUGAAUGAUUUAAUUUGAUUUGCUCUCAAGUAAAACUAAACAUCUUCUUCUUUUUUAUAUAGUUUGAUUGAUGCAAUAUCUGAAAUCAACUUUCUUGACCAAGAAAUAUCUAACAUUAUCAAGAUUUAAUGCGAGACAUAACCUGUCGAAGCAUCACUGUAGUGAAAACCAUAGCAACCAAUUAACAACAUUAUAAAUAAAGGUAGAGUAAUGUCUUAAUUUAAUGAUUAUCUAUUAGAGCACGUCCGCACAAAAAAACUUUUGUUUAAAAAACGAAAAAGAAGUCCAUUCUUCAUAAAUCAAGUGGUCUCGAGCAUGAGAGGGCCUUUAUUCCAUAAAAUCAUUUCCUAUCGCAAUAAUGGUGAUUACUUGUGGGUCGCAACCAAAAAGUAUAUUGUGUGGCUGAAGAAGCAGCAUGUUUUAUUCUCUUUAUGUUCAUCUUGCAUAUGUCCAAAUGACUUCAAUACAGAUGUCUCAACUGCUAGUACAUGAACUUGCAUAUUCAAAUUUUGUUUGCAGGGAAAAGUGCUACAUUCAAGCACCAAUAAGCAGUAAUAUUGUUGAUUCAUGAGGUAUUCUGAUCAAAUGUAAUGAUUCACAAUCACCCCAUGAAGAUGCAUUGAUGUCUACAAAAUAUUUUACAAGAACAGAAUGAAAAGCUCAUAAAAUGUAGAAAUGAAUGUAUUGAUAUAUGCCUAUAACAUCUUAUAGUAGCAGAUCAAGGCAGCAAGGGCCUCACUCUAUGAUACCUUACGAACUCCUCAAUAUUCUUAUCAGAGCUUCCACCUACAUCUACUGCCAGAACUCCCUCUUAUCGCAUUGCUUCUUUCACUUUCCAGGACUUCCCUUAUGCACCUUUCUACCUCUUCUUUGGUGACAAUCCCCUUUUCAUUUACAUUUACUCUAACUCCUACAUGCCAAACAUCAGUGAUAUACUUAGCAUUGGUUGGUUGAUCAGUCCACUGUGGCAUUGCCACCAUUGGCACUCCUAAGCUCAAUGCCUCGAGUGUUGAGUUCCACCCACAAUGAGUAAUGAAGCAUCCAACUGAUUUGUGAGCCAGAACUUGUAGUUGAGGACACCAUUUUAUGAUUAGGCUUAUGUCUGAUGUCUCCUUCACAAAGUCCCAUGGAAGUUUACUCUCUUCUAACUCUCUUACUAUCCAUAGGAAGCACCUAUUACUUCGUUUAAGACCCCAGGCCAGCUCUGCCAUUUGUUCUUCUCCGACGGUAGCCAGGCUUCCUAAUGAGACAUACAAAACUGACCCUGGUUCCUUCAAGUCCAGCCACUUCAUGCAAACAUCUGAAUUGGGCUUGAAAAGGUUUAAGUCAUAAUCUUUGUCAUCUCCCAACUGUUUGUCCAAGAACAUUGAUGGAAUCAUUGGUCCUAUUGGUUUGAUUGGCCAUUUAUUGAUUCUCAUCCAGUUCACUACCUGGUACAGAAAUAGCAAAAUGUCAAGCAGUAUUCAACAUCCUAUGAAUGAACAAAAGAAAUGACUAUGUUAUGAAGGAAUAGGAGUUCACACUUCAACUUCAAGCUUAUUAAAGCUGUUCCAUAUCAGCCAUCUUGCUUCAAGAAAAUUUGAGAACUGACCAAGGAGGAGUUCUCGUAUAGCUGGAUAUGAACCUACAUCACUAACAAAUGAUGGUAGAUCACUGAACUCCAAUUUUUCCAACGAAGGCAAGGACACUGCUGCCUGAUCAAAGAUUGGUUCCAAAUUGAUGGAAUAGUUUAAUAAAAUAUCACUCUGCAAUGAUGGAUACUUGCUAUUUCUGUCCUUCUCAUCAAAUUGUUUUUUUCUGAACAUAUGGAGGUCCAUCUGGGUCUUUUCUCAUUUAUAUUCACAUAAACCAUAGAUUACUAGACCCUACCAUAAUCAAUGUGACAGGACUUGAGGAUACAAAUAUUUUAGUGAAACAUGUGAUUUCAAAUUCCAACUCUGUGCAGAACGUGGAUUGAACUAGAUAAAUGUCUUCAAAAUACAUGCCCAAGCAAAUCAUAGGGCAAUACAUGUGCAUUAUUGUGGAGAGAUUAAAAUCAAAAGUAUCUUCCAUCGUGGGUGAUAAAUCACCUCAUCAGUUAUGUAAUUUGCUUUAUUUGGAUUAACGAGUUUCAAUUAUUAUUAUUUUCUAAAUCUAAUUUCCUAGAAAAAAAUAAAAUACAAAUGCCAGCUCUUUCCAUUUCUUGGAAUUCAUUUUCAUUUCUCUGCCUCUAUCUCCCUCCAUCACUUCUUUUAUGCAAAUGGCAAUCUCUUCUCUUGUCACAAUCUCUUCCUUAGCUCUGACUCCCACCUUCCAAGCAUCUUCAACGAGUUUAGAAUUCGUUUGUUGAUCACUCCAUCCUGGCAUUGUCACCAUUGGCACACCCAAGCUCAAUGCCUCGAUUGUUGAGUUCCAACCGCAAUGUGUGAAAAAACAUCCCACAGCCUUAUUUGCUAGCAUUUUCACUUGAGGACUCCAAUUCACUAGCAAUCCCUUAUUCUCCACUUCUUCAACAAACCCUUCUGGGAUCUUCCCUUUCUCAGAAUCCAUCACCACCCACAAGAAGGGAAAAUUACUCCUCUUUAAGCUCAUGCAAUUUCCUCCAUUUGCUUGUUGCUUAGAGUAGCACAGCUACCAAAGGACAUAUAUACAACUGAUGUAGUGGGCUUAGUGCUGAGCCAAUUGAUAGAAAGAGAUGGGAUUGUUGGUCCAAUUGUCAAUAACGGCCAAACUUUUGACAUUGUAUCCACUACCUGAAGGAACAACAAAAUAUUUGUGGAGAUUUGGACCCUUAAUUUACAUAACAUAAAAACACAACAAGUUCAAAUUAUUUAUCUCUAAAUAUUCAUGAUUCUGUUACCUUUACUGCUAAGAGUUUCAAAUUUUAAUCAUUUACAAUUCACAAUUAUUUGGGAUGGAAUUGAUGAAAUUAAUUGGUUUGGGAUGGAAAUUGAAAGAGAAUGAGAUUUUACCAGAAACCGUAAAAGAAGUGCAAAUAGUUUUAAAGUCCAAUUAUGCGGUACAAAAUUGCCUACCUCACACUCCAGCUUGAAAAAUUGUUCUAAAAUAUGUAGUGGACGUACUGGAAAACUUAGGAAAAAAGGGAGCACAAAGGGAGAUAUUAUAUCAUGAUCUUCAGGAUUAAAAAUUGAAAGGAAGUAAGGGCCUUGGUUAAAUAUAAAUAGGUUUAUCACUAGGGAGAUAUGAUAUCAUGAUAUCCUAGCAUGAUCUUUAAAUUCAUAGGAUAUCCUAGAAUGAUCUUCAAGCUAAUGGUGAGAGAAUGAACCAUAAGCUUUAAGAACCAAAAGCUUGUCAUUGGUAGAAAUAUAAUGAGCUUAAAUGUUUUCAUUAAAAAAUUUCUUCCAGAUAAAGUUAUAAUCCACUUCAACUAGAUUGGAAGAUAAGGAAAGGGCUCCAAAGUUAUUAACAUAUAGGCAGGCAAGGUGUUGUGUUGAGAGUGACAUGUCAUUCUUUAAGAAGUAUAUAAACCAAUAAAGUUCUCUACCUAUGAAUGUCAUUGCUUAGUGUCAUAAUUUAAUUUUGAACCCUUUAAAUUUAUUUUAUAAAAAAAUAUGUAUUUAAAAAAUUCCAAAAAAAUAUAAAAUAAAAAAUCCAAAAAUAUUUUUUUUUAGACACGAGAAGAUAGUUUUCGAGCUGCAAAAAAUCAAGAUACCAAAAAAACAACUAGAUUAUGAUAUUUUGACAAGAUAUGAUGGAAAAAUAAAGAAAAUUGAGGUUAAAAUCCAAACUUGACCAAAAUUGGAAAGAAAUAUUGAGGUUGAAAUCCAAACUUCUAACAAGUUUAAUCGACUUAUUUAAGGACUUAAUUAAAGAAAAAAUAAGUUUAAAAGUCUAUUGGACAAAAAUUGAAAGAAUUAAUUAAAUUCAAGGACAUAAUUAAACUUCUAAUGAGUUUUGUGGAUUUAAUCAAUGACUCAAUUGAAAAAAAAUCAAGUUUGAAGGUCUAAUUCGAAUCAAUUCGCAAAGAUUGUAAUAUUAGAGACAAUUGAAACUUUAAAAUACUAAAUUGGUGUAAAUAGGGGCUUAAUUAAAAGAAAUUUGAAAUAUAAAUUUCAAUUGAAGACCACAUUGAAGAAAUCUAAAAUCAAGAACUACUUUGGCAUCAACACAUUUUAUAAAAAAUUAUCCAAAAAUAUUUAAAAAAUAAUUUAAAAUAAAAACAAAUCAAAUUAUAAAAAAAAAAAAAAAAAAAAAACAGGUUUAAUCUCAAUUCCAAAUGAUCACUCCCUCUAUAAGAAGUGUCAGCAUACCUUUCAAAAGCUGUUGAAUGGGAGUUUCUCCAUCAUCUUUGGCAAUUCCUUGACUCCAUCAUCAUUGGAAACUCCGUGACAAGUACAGAACAGUGGGUGAGUUUAAGAGUCCAUGUCCUAAAGAGUUUACGCAUGAAGAUGAAGAUGACAUAGAAUCCAGCUCUGUUGCAUGGGCUAGCGAUCGUGAUUUCUCCUGCAAAUAAUCUCAGAUUUUUCUGUUGAGCUGCCCCCUGAACCUGCAGCGAGUUAACUCAUAACGUGCUCAUAAGAAUUGAAGGGUUCAGCAUGCAUUCAACAGAAGUACCUAUAGGAGCAUGAAUCUCCUUUUCUGUUCUCUCCUGCUAGCAUCGUUCUUGGGCUAUACAUCAGUCACCAUUGCUAUGUUCUGAUGUUUCGAAAAGACUCCUAGAAUUUGCUUGACUUGCAUUUUUAUAGCUAAAUUCCUAGCAAGCUUCCACUUCAGCUUCUAUAAAUUAGGUAUCGAGCAUGUACAUGCCUCUAAUGUUGCGCGAUAGUGUCAUCCCUUUUUCUUUUUUCUAGUUUUUUUUUUUUUCCUUGCACACCGUUUUCAAAAGUUCACCAUGAUGGUGGAUAAGAAAUGUGGAAGAACAUGGUUUGAUUAUAUGGGCCGAAUAUUGUUUAUUUCCUUUGUUUUGUUUGGGCCGUAUUAAUUCAUGUCAUGAGCUGAGUGUAUAUAUUUUUGUUUAAAUGGGUUGCACAUUUUAUUUGGUUUUAUAUACAAACAACAAAAAAUCAUUCCUUAUAUUUUUAAUUAUAUAUGGAAACGUCUCUCAAAAAUAAAAAUAAAAAAUCAUAUUUUCAUAAAUAAUAAAAAUAAAAACAACAUACAAGGCAUGAUUUAAGGUGUAUUUGACACACCGUUUCCUCAAAUUUUGAAAACUUUUUAUUUCUUUUACGUAAAAUAAAUUAUUAUUUUUAUGUUUUUGGAUCGUUUUGAUUUGCUGAUGUCAAAAAUAGUUUUAAAAAAAUAAAAAAAAAUUAUUUUGAUUCAUUUUUAUAUGAAAAACACUUUAAACCGCCACCGUUACCACAAUCUUAAACACACUAUUAGCAUCUUUAAAUACAAAAAUUCAAGAAAAAUAGUUUUGUUGAUAUAUUUGCAAUCAUUUUUAGAUUUAAUAACUAGUUUAUGAAAUACAUUAGAACUUGGUUUGCAUUUUAAAAAAAUUAUUUUGAUUGUUUGAAUAUCAAGUAUCACAAACUUAUAUGUAAGGACAUAUUCCAGAUAUUAAAAGAAAAUUAAAAAAGAAAUUGACAUUAGAAUGGUUAAGAUUUAAAUUGAUAGGAUAAAGAUUUUUUAACUGAUAAGAACUUUUUCUAAACCUUAUAAACAUACCAAUGGUUAGAAAUACAAAACAAUAAGUUAGUUUAUAUUAGACAAACAAACAAUACAACUUACCUUAGAUAAGAUGUACUAGGGGCAAUACAUCCUUCUUAUAUACAAUUAAAUCCUUUUAUCUAGGCCCUGAAACUAGUAAAGGUUUCUAGUAAUCAAAAUAUUAAGUGGUGACUCCAUUCUUUUUUUCUUUUUUUACUAAUAAGAAAUAAGAAUUUCUUGUUCUUUUCUUCAUCACCACAAAGAUCUUGCUCUGAAAGAAAGAUCAUCGUGACGUCACAUAUGUGCAACACUUAUUAUUCUAGUUCAGUCUUGGAGCGUGCUACAAUAUCUUGCUUCUUAGUUGUACAUGAUAUUUAUUCGACUGUAAAGAGUGUUUGGUGUAAUGUAUGUUGUGGUCUAGAAUCCCCUUUAAGUAUCGAAUAACUAGGUUAACAACAACAAGAUGAUUUGUACAAAUUUAAAAUUAGAAGAGAAUGAUAUUAUUUAAUAAUUUAAUAUAUAUGAAUUAAGUUAACUCAUGUGGAGUUUCUAUAGCUACAUAGCAAGACAUAUAAAGAAAUAGAAUAAAAUAAAUUAUAUAAAAUGCUUGAUCAUCUCUUUUAAUUAGAUAAUUGAAAUAUUUUUUUUAUUUUUUUAUCUUUUUAUUAAUUAGGAAAUGAUCAAGAAUAUUUACCUUGAUUAUUUUCUUAACAUGUCACAAUUUAUUAACGCGCUCCCUCAAACUCAUGAUAAUUUUACUUUUCAUGAGUUUAACGUAUAUUAACACUAUUUAUAUUGUUGUUGUAACCUCAUCUACUUGUCAAAAUGAUCACAAUCGAUAAACAAUCUUAUUUGGUCAUUAAAUAAAAUUUUGGUUGAGGUUGUUAUAUAUGCUUGCAACAAUAAAAAAUUAGAGGGAACAAAAAAGUUCAAUAAAUCAAAUUCCAAGUCGAACUUUCAUGCUUUCUACUUGGAUGUAACAAUAAACAAUUAAUACCAUAAAGGCAUAAUGAUGGUUUUUAUAACAAUAACAAUGAGAGUAUUCAAACUAUUUAAAUAAUAGAGAUUUUAAGGAUGAUGAAUCAACAAAUCAUGAAUUGAUGUAUCAUUAAAAAAGAUAAUAAAUAAAAAAUCAUCUAGAGAAUGAAGAGGAUUGAAACAAGUUGUUUUAAAGUGGUUAAAUAAACAGCUUAAAAUAGUUUGAAAUAAAAACAGAAGCUAAUAUUUAGAGCAAUAACUUGCUUUGAUACCAAAUUAAAACUAAGAAAUGAAUAGCAUGGUUCAAAUGGAACUCAACAAUGUUAUAUUGAUCCAUAUAUAUAUCAAAAAUUAAAAUAUAGAGAUGUUAUCUAAUCAUAGUGUGAUCUUCAGGAGAUGUUAUUUAAUCCUAGCAUGAUAUUUAGAAUUAUAGAAUAUACAUACUAGCUAGCAUUAUCUUCACAAUCUUCAGCAUGAUGUUCGAUUGUUAGAUAUCAAAUCUUUAGCGUUGCAAGGUACUGUAGUCUUCUUCCAUGCUUAAGUUGCUUGAUUGUUGAUCAAGUGGCGAUUCUUUCUCACUGGUUUGUUGAGGUUCAAUGCUUGUAUGCAAGCUUUGGAAACUCAUGUCAACUCAUAUAUCAAUAUAUAAACUCUAAUAUUCUUUUUAUUAUUUUUAAUAGCAUUUUUAAAUUCUUUUACGUUGUUUUCAACGUUAAUCAGGAGGUUAUCAUGUUGACUUUGCACAUUUCAUAUGGUUUUUUUACAUACAAAUUUCAAUAACUGUACCAAUUAUUCUUAUUUCCUUCAUGAAAAUCUUUGCUAAAAACUUAUUAAAACACCAAAUAAUUAUUUUUAAUCAAUGAUUAACUUAUUCAAUAAUUAAAACACCAAAUAAUUGCACUAUUCUUCGGUAAAUGAUUAACUUAUUCAAUAAAACGGGAGAAUAAGUUGAAUAUUUUUAGUUGUCAAUGAUUUGAGAUAUUUCCUUUAUAUCACACCAGUUGUUUAAUCAACAAAAUCCCAUUUAGAUCUUCACUAUCAACAUGGAUUGCAUUACAUAAUGGGUUACGAUAAAAAAAAAAAUACCUACAUUACAAGAAAGCAUUUUAGUGGCAAAUGGGUUAAUCCUGAAACCUCCCAAUUGGUUUGCUUAGGUAGCCCAUGUUUCAAAUCAAAUAGUUUAGAGUUGUCUAGAUAUGAUGUUGUCGACUCAGCUAGUUUAAAAGCAAGUUAGAUGAGUGGUAUAAAUAUAGUUUGAUUUUUAAUAUAAAUCUUGAGGUGACAUAAUUUUUUUAAAAACUAUUUAAAACUAUUGAGACUAUUAUAGAAUGUAUAGCAUGUAUAUCUCUGAAUAGAAAAUUAAUAUAGGAUUGUUCUAAUGUUGUAAUUCCUACGGUUACUGACAUGUUAUGCCCCACAUAUAUAAAUAAAAAAGGUUGGCUAAGGCCAACCUAAGUCAUUUUAUUAUUCUCAACUUGGUAUCAGAGCUCUAAAUAAACUAAAACACCUCUUCUCCUCUCUGCAAUGGAUUCCUCCCAGCCGGCAGCCAUCUCUCCCUCUACAGCAGCGCUAGUAGUGCCAUCCUCCUCUCCUGCCGCAGCACCACCUUCUUCUUCAGCUUCGGUUCCGUAGUGGCCACAACCUACAAAUGUUGGCCAUGCUCUUUUCAACCCCAAUAAUGCUCCUCUGUUGCCGUCCUUUUCUGCAGAAGCCAUUGUCACUUCUGCUGUGGCAAUUGUGUCCCUCUCCCACACUCAUUAGGUCAUCUCUUUGAAACUGACAAACACCAAUUAUCUGUAUUGGCAAAUACAUAUGAAAUAAUAUGUUUAAGGCCAAGGAGUUUUCAGCUUUGUUGAUGGUUCAAACUCCUGCCCCUCUCCACAUAUUCGUACUAUCGAUGAUGUCUCUCUGCAGGUAUCUCAACACUUUCUUCGUUGGAAACAACAAGACCAACUCAUUCUAAGUGCCAUGCUCUCUUCGUUAUCCAUGGAAGUUCUUCAUCUUGUUGUUGAUUGUCCAACCUCAUGCUCUGUCUGGCACACACUUGAGCAAGCUCUAGCUUCCGCAUCCAAUUCUCGUAUUAUACAACUUCACGGCUCUCUUCAAGACCUUCGACAAGGUGAUGAAUCGGUAACUCAAUUUCCACAAAAAGCUAAGGCUUUAUUUGAUGAGCUAGCAGCUGCCGGCCGGCUUAUUUCGCUGGCACAUUUCAACUUAUAUGUGUUUUGUGGCCUUCACAGAGAAUUUAAGGACUUAGUGACAAGUCUUGUUAUAAGGGCAGAUCCUCUUCCAUAUGCAGAUUUUCUUAGUAAUUUGCUAACACAUGAAUUUAUUCAUAAAUCCUCCCAUUUGUCCAUGGGGUCUACUGCAAUUCAUGCACCCUUGUUGCCUACGCCGAACAUCCCUCUUUCAGCACUUAUCUCUCACUGUCAGCCUGCUGCUUAAUUUGGUCGAAAUAAGGGUCGUUUUAAUGGCAGCUAGCAUCCUUAACAGUUCAAUCACAAAGGGCCUCGCAAUUCUGGUUCCAGACCUGAAUUUCGCAGCUUCCACAACACUUCCAGCAACGACAACAAACAAAGCAACUGACAGGGAAAUUGGCAAUGCAAUAGGGGAUCCAAAUCCCGCUACCAGUUAUGUCAAGCUUUCGAACAUACUACUCCUCAGUGCUCCCAACUUCAGCAACGCGGUUAUGGUUAGUAGUAUAGUGCCAAUCUAGCCCUACACAAUCAUGCAAGUACUGCUGAAUGGUUUUCGGACACCGGUGCAAAUCAACACGUCACACCUGACCUUGCAACCUUGACUGCUUUAGAACCAUACAAUGGUAAUGAUAAUUUGCAUGUUGGUGAUGGUAAAGGACAUCCCAAAUCUCAUAUCAGUCAUACCAAACUAUAUACCCCACAUCGUUCGUUCACUUUAUCUAAUGUCCUGCAUGUUCCUGCACGUUCCUGUGGCUGCACUUUUCCUGAUUUUGUUUUAGAGGUUGUUUUUUGUAACUUUUUAAAUUGUUUAUUGUAAUUUUUGUUUAGUUUUUGAAUAUUUUAUAAUUUGUAGUGUGGAUGUAAAAAAAAGAAGAAAAGAAAAACAUAGUGAAAGUGAAUGUGUUGUUUGUAUUUUUUUAUGAAUGUUUUUUUAUGAUAAAAUCGUAAAGAAUAAAGAAGAAUUUAAUAUUUUGAUUUGUUUACGAUUAAGAAUUAUGAACUUACACGUAAGUUGUAUUUCUAAUAUCCGAUGAAAAGACAAAAACAUUUAAACUUCUUUAACACAUCAAAGCCACGAAGCAACUUACCUCAGGUAGGGUGCAUUAGGGUUGCUAAUAUCUUUCCUAACCACAACCAGUCCCUUACCCGUGAAUCUUUGACAAGAUUAGUACAUGCGAGUUUCCUAGUAGCCCUCAAUUAAAUACUAGGUGGCGACUCCAACAAACUGGAACCACAUUGAGGACAAUGUCUCAUUUUGGUUAAGGCGAAAGGGUAGUAGUUGAUAUAUAUAUAAAAAAAAAAAAAAUUUGUGUUUUCUAUUUCAUAAACCAUUUGCAAAACUGUUGUUACUAGGAUGACAGAGUAAAAGGGAUUCUUUUGUUAAAGUGACUCUUGAGACGCAUCUUAGUAAACAUUCUUAACAAGGUCUAUCAGAAUACUUCUUGAAAUAUUCAGGUUUACAAACUCUCAUUUUGUUAUCACUUGAUUCUGCUCAUAUGCUCAUUUAACAAGUAUUUUUAAAUCUUCAUUUUCACACACACACUUUAACAUAUGAUUGUGGGUUGCACAUUGGAUUAUUACAUUAUUUAUGUUCUUUUGUUAAAGGUAACAACUAAGGGAAAGUGAUAGUAUAUAAUUUGCAAAAAAAAAAAAAAAAUAUUGAUGAUAAUAAAAACGUAGAUAAGUUUGGUUUCGUAGCCUCCCUAACCUAAGCAAUUAAGCCCGAAUGGGUGUUUUAACACCUAAUACCCUAAAGUCAACUAACUUGGGAGCUAUUGGCCCAAAGCUUGUUACAUGGGUUAAGGAGAAAAGCUUAAGGGAAUCAAACAUUGCACUAUCUACGUAUCAGUAUCUGCAACCCGAGUUACUAAGCUCGUAGGGGUGUCUCAACACCUAAUGCCCAAAGACCAACUGGUCUGGGAGUCAUUAGCCAAAACUCGUUACAUGGGUUAAAGAUGCAUUGUGUUGUAUGUGUAUAUAAAUAAAUAAAUAAAAAAAUAAUAAUAAUCUCAACCCAAGGAAGUUAACCUUAACAUUAGAACAUAAUAUUGUUUUCUUCCAACAAAAACCCCAUCAUCUAUGUUUUCAUACAUUGAGCACAUAAAAAGAAGGUUUAUUAAUAUCUUGUUUAAGAUAUAUGAAGCAGAAAUAUAAAUUUAAUGAGAGUUUGUUUAUCUAGAUAGAUUAAUGGAAGUUGAAUGAUGAAUGCCUUGCUUUGUGGAACUUGCAAAUUUUUUUCUAUUUUAACGCUUUGAUUACUAGGGACUAGUAAUAAGCUGGUUGGGGGUGUGAUUAGUACUUAAAAGUGCAUUUUUAUCAAGGUUUUAUAUCAUCAUUUUGCACUUGAAGUAUCAAUAACUCCUUAACUAAAGCAUGUUUUAUAAUAACAUCUAAUAUAUAAUACUUUAAUAUAUGGUAAAUGUUCAUCUUAAAUGCAGGCCUAUCACAUAAAUCAAAGGAUUGAUUGAUGAGUUCAAGUAUUGAAAUUGAAAGGACAACGAGAGGGCCAAACUUAGAAAAGAGAUGUUGGUGCAGUCCAAACUAAAACAUUGUUCAGCAAUUGGGUCAUAUCUCGAGUUCUAUAUGUCCAAAUGAUCUCAAAUUUUUACACAGAUUCAGUAAGACAUAGGCCUAUAACUUUCAUGUGGAGGCCAAUAUCUAAGAAAGUCGUUUUCAAGUCCAAAUUAUACCAACAAUGGAGAAGUCUGAAUAUGUCCUGCAACCCAGACAUUGUUCAGUGUUCAACCCAUAUCUCGAGUUCUAGAAUUUCAUAUGACCUCAAUUUUUUUUUCUAUAAAGCUAAGACAAUUUCCUACAACUUUUAUGAAUAUAGGUGGAUCCAGUUCUGAUGCUAGCAAUGACGUUUUAUUCAGACAAGAAGAUAAGGAUUUUUACCAAGUCAAGAGUUGGCCACCCACUCAACAAUUAGUCAUCAAAUCAAUAGUUUUAAAUUUUGGCAUAUAAAAAGAGGUAUUUGCCAUGCAUUUAGGGGCUUGGUUGUUCAGAUCAAGAACUUGUUCUUGCUCUCUCUCUUUAUGUUUUUUUUUUGUAAUUCUUAAGUUUUGCUUUCAUUAAUAUCUUGUUUAUGCUUUUCAUUUCCUUUCCUUUACUUAGUUAACUUGUAUCUUAUUUAUGUUCUUGUUUUGUUUAUUUAUGUUUCUCUUCUUCAUUAUGUUUAGCUAAGUUUAUUAUGUCAAGGUGAAAAGGUUACACUAAUGGUGUAAGAAUAAGUAUAGUGUAAACUCAACAUAAACCUUAAUGUUUAAUAUUAACAUGUCUUAUCUUUUUAUCUUACUAAUUCUUAAUAAGUAAAUUAAACAUGCUCCAAGAGGGUAUAUAUCUUGGUCAUGGGUCUCACAAGUGGAGUGUACAUAGGCUUGGAAUUUUGGCUGUCAAUGUUGCCAUUAGAUUUUGUAGAGUUGAAGCCAUUUGAUAGCUAGGCCAAUAAUAAACCAUUCAGCCAUUAUCCGAUUGCAUACCCUAAAGAGGCAACCAGAGUAUAAGAAGGAAUACUUCAUCACAAGGUAAUAACAGUGAAGAAAUUUGUGGUAAAAUAUAUGUAGCAGCAGCAGCAGAAAUGGAUAUUGAAGAACAGCGGAAAACGCUCAAAGUUCUUACAAACAGAUUUAAAAUUUCAAAAUGAAUGGAUGCAAAACCAUUACAAGGCAAGUCCCUUUAUGCUUCCAUGUAAAAGUUCCAAGGAACUUACUGUUUGGGAACCAUCUGCUUGGUAAUAAACUUGAUCAUCCAAUUGCGUGGAGGACCCACUGUAGCCUGCAAAAUAGAGUUAUCCUUCUGAAAUUAAGUAUGCUGAUAACAUAUUAAUGCUCAAUUAUGAAUUCAAAUUGGAAAUCACACUGCAAGGUGGGUAAACUAAAUGAAAUUUUACUAGACAGCUUCAUUGUUAACAAAGAAACUAAAUGAUUAUAAGAAUUUUCCAUUGUACUAUUUUCAGGCAAUGCACCAGCAUGGGGAUGCUUCCAUGAUGUUUAUCACACAAGGCAAAAGAAGCCUGGAGCUAUCUCAGUUUCUUGCCCAGCUAUAUUACCCUGGCCACAGCAGUGAUCUUGUUGAGUGUACUUUUUGACAUUAAAUCCGCAUAGACCAGUAGCUACCUGAUACCACCUUAACAAUAGAAUCUCAUCGACCACUAAUGUGAUCUGGCCACUAAGACUUUUGAUUAAGCAAAAGUAGCUUGUUCACCGACACUAGAUGCUCAAAAAUCCUCACCUGUUCAUACUCAUUGAGCACACCUAACCUGAUCCCAUUAAAUUAGUACUUUAUAAGUACUACUACACUAAAUCAUAGUCUAAGCUAGGCAAAAAUCUGUUGCUGUCCCAGCUACCCAACCCAGAAAGGAAAUCGAGGACUGAUCAGGCGACUGAGUUGCUACCUCCUACCACUUUAACAAUAGAAUCUCAUCCACCACUAAAUGUGAUCUGGCCACUAAAACUUUUGAUUAAGCAAAAGUAGCAUGUUCACCGUCACCAAAUGCUCAAAAAUCCUGACCUGUUCAUACUCAGUGACCAAACCUAGGCUCAAAAAUCCAGAAAUGUUCAUACUCAUUGACCAAACCUAUGCUCAAAAAUCCUGAAAUGUUCAUACUCAUUGACCAAACCUAAGUCGGAUGUUUGUAGGGGCUAGCGGCUGCUGAAGGUAUGAUUGUUUUUGCGGCGUGUCCGUUAAUUUUUAAAAUUUUUUAAUUUUUUUAAAUUUAAUUUAAAAUAAUUUGUUAAUAUUUUUAUAUUCUUUUUACUUUUUAAGUCAUAUUUAAAAUUUUAAAAAUUAAUUUUAUUUUAAUAUAUAUAUAUAUAAACAAAAAAUAAUCUGAAAAACAACUACUGUUACAAUGUCAAAUACUAUCUAUCUAACAAGACUUCCUCUUUUUUAAACCAUAAUGAUUGGCUUGGCAGUUGACUUGAAGCUUGAACAGUUCCAAUAAAAAAAUAUAAGUAAAAAUCAUGGUAACUUGGUUAUAAAUUCGAGUUGACAUUAUAAUCUAAUCAAACAAUACCUAACUCGAUCAAAACUUGACCUACCUUUGACUUUUUUGAGUUAAGACAAUAAAAAGAUUGGGUAUACAUUGAAUAAUGUUUUACUAGGCUUGGUGUUCGUGUUUCAUUGCAAGGUAAAACUAUUUUUUAUAUAAAAACAAUAAUGUUUAGGAGAAGUAAGCAUAUUUUUUAAAACAAAAAAUUUAUGGCUCAAGUUAUAAAUCUAACUGUGUAAUAAGUCAGCUUUAUUUUAAUUUGAUAAAAAAUUAAGAAAUGACAGUAGGUGAAUCAAAUUUAAAAAAAUAAUCAGAAUAACCUAGUGAAAAAAAAUAUUUUUUAAAAGACAACAAAUGAUGCAUCUCAAUUCAUAACCCAUUAAAUACGAAAGAACAAAAUGGGAUAAAAAAGACAUAAAAAACCUAGCAUGAUAAACUUGUAAUUCUAGUAAUCAAGGUCAAGCCAACUUAUGAUAUUCCGCCAAACUAACUUGGACCCUCGAUCAUGAGAUUAGAAUAAUCCAAUAGAAAAAAUAAAAAGAAUUAUAAAGCAUAUUUAAAAAAAAACAUUAACUUCUGUUAACUUUUCAAACUCAUGAUCCAGGUCAUUAAACUUAAAGUAACUUAUUUUGACAACCAUGAAGCCCAAUUUCUAAAAACUAAUUUUAAUUAUAUAAAAACAUUAAUAAAAUAACAAUUAAAAGAAUGAUGAUCAAAAUUAAAAUACAAAAUAAAUUUUAUAUUGGAUUGAAUGGUGAAAUUGAAAAAAAAAAUCAUUUUAGUAAAACGACCAAAAAAUUAAAAGAAUGAUGAUCAAAAUCAACAAAAAAUAAAAAAGAGUGAGGACCAAAUUGAUAAAAAAAAAAUAUAUCAUAAAUUUAGAUUGAAUGAUGAAAUUAAAAAUAAAUUAUUAUUUUUUACAAAAGAGUCGAGAAAAAAAUUAGAAAUCAAAACAACAUCGACCAAAUUAAAAAAUAUAAUACCAUAAAAUUAGAUUGAAGGAAAAGAUUGAAAACCAAUAAAACUUUUACAAAAGAGCUCAGGAAAAAAAUAAAAUCAAAAGAAUAAGGAUCAACUUGAAAAAAACAAUAUAUCUCAAAUUGGAGUUGAUGAAAAAAAUUGAAAACAAAUAAUUUUUUUAUAAAAGGGUCAAGAAUAAGAAUUAAAAACUAAAAGUGUUGUAACCUAUUUUUGGUUCCCUGCACAAAAAAUAAGAGAAAUACAAAAUAAAAAUAAAAAUCAAUCAAUAAAAAUAUAUAUAAAAAAAUAUAGCAGGAAAAGAGGAUGUUAGAGCGCCCAAAAAAUGACAAAAACAAAAAUUAGAAGAGGAUGUCAAAGCGCCCAUAAAAUGGCAAAAUAAUUAGUUGAGGAGGUUAAAAAAAUAAAAAGAUUGAAAUUUAACAGUAUAUCAUUGACCGAUGAGAGCUUUGUUGAGGAAGAAAAGAAAAUUAGUUGAGGAGGUUAAAAAAAUAAAAAGAAAAUUUGAUUUGAGGAAGAAAAGUACAAAAUUAGAUGUUUAUGGACUUAAUUAAAUUUUAUUGAAUGUUUAAUUGAAUUUAUGGAGGGUUGAUUGCAAGAAAAAUUAAUUUUUAAAUCAAUUUAGACUUUAAUUGGAAGAAAUUAAAGUUCUAGGGUCAAAGUAGAAUUUUUGAGAGUUGAUUUGGUCAAAUUUGGGGCUUAAUUGCAUAGAUAUUGAUGUUUGAUGGCCAAUCAGGGACUUGAUUGAAGAAAUCCAAAACCAAGGACCAAAUUGGAAAAGAUGCAUAAAUAAAGGGAUUGAAAUUGAUUAAAUUAGGGGUCAAAUUGAAGAAAUUACAAGUUUAUUGAUCAAUUAAAGGUCAAAUUGCAUAAAUCCGAAAGUAAGGACCAUAGGGAAAAAUGCGUCGAAAUCUGAGGUUUAAAUUGAAGUUCUUCAUAGGUAAAAUUGAACAAAAUUAAAAGUUUGAAGUCAAUCAUGGGUGUAGAUAGUAAUAAAUCACAAAUUGAAUGACUAAAUCGUUAGAUAUUGUUCAUUUUCUUCUCCGGUGAGGCUGAUUGGGUGGCCACCUUCCAAAGGCAUUUGACGCCUCAUUUCUUCACAAAAUUAGAUGAAACAUGCAUGCAAACGAUCAUGUGAUACUUGAUUACACGCUAGUGUAAGCCGUUCGGGCUGAUCAAGGCUGCAGAGGAGGUGACAUCGCUCUAAAGUGGCCAACCCAACCAGCCAUUUUCCUGCAUAAAACUAACAGUUCAUCAUUCCUACUUUGAGCCGAUGGUUGGGAUACUUUCGGGUCAAAUCAAGGGCUGCGAUUUUGCACCAGAAGAGACAAAAUGUCCCUCUUCCACCGCUUAUAAAUAUAUUUUAUCUUCAUGUUCCAAGGAGGGAGGAUCGUGGGUCCAAAGUUAAGAAAAAAUCAUCUUUUAUUGUCUAAUAAACUAAAUUCACCAACUAAUCUUGAUUCACCAAGAUAGACAUGUAAGUCCCCGUUUAAGAGUUUAUUUAAAUGGAGUAACCUAUCAUAGGCCUCUUAUGAGUAACAAAAUAAUGAAACAUUAUAUUUCUCGUGCUUUUCUCUUGUCAAACAUGAGAAUAUAUUUGCCUCAAGGAAGGGAAAUUUUAUCUUCACAUAACCCAAACUCUAAUACGGUCAUAUUCAAUGUUUAACCUAGUUAGGAAAUCAUAAACACAAUACUUGUCAAUAAGUUUUGAAACUUUACUACAUCACCUAUAUAAUUGGUCUAGAAAUCUUGGUUGAAUUCUAGCUCUUGCCAUAAACUACUUAGUUAGUAAAGUAUUGGGCAACAAAUAUACCACAAUGCUUGGUUUCAUGAACCUUUAAGAUACAAACUUUUUAGAUAAAUUAAAAAAAUAAAAUAAGUUCAAAAGGGAUAUAAGAAAACUCUAGAUCAUGUUUGCGUGUGAAAAAAAUUCAAUUUUCUAAAACACAAAUAGGAAAUAAAAAACUAAAAUAAACAUAUUCUCUAAUUAGAAAUAAAAAACUUACAUAUAACUAUCAUUAUUUGAAAAAAAAAAAACAAAUAAAAUGGAAAAAUAAAACAAGUCCAAAUGAUCACCAAAAAACCAAAAACCUCUAGCCAGGGAAAAAACACUAAGGUGAUAUUUGGAUGUUGAAAUUUUUUAGUUUUUUAGCAAAAAAAAUUCAGGAAAUAGAAAACUGAAGAAAACAUAUUCACUUAUUAAAAAUAUUUUUUUAACAAAACAUAUAAUUUUUUUUUCAUUUUUAAAAAAAUUAAAAAGUACAAAAAAGUAUUUAUUUUUUAAAUUCAUUGAUCAGCCUCAUUUUCAUUUUUUCAUUCGUUUAGAUGCGUUUCUAAAAAAAAAUUCUUGUUUUAUUUAAUUUUUUUAGGAUUCAGUAAUGUCGCAUAUUGUUUUUUAAUCGUUGUUAUUUCUUUUAAAAAUAUAUAAUAUUUUUUAUCAGCUACCCGUUAAGCCCGUGAUCUAUCAUGAACCGAGCUCGGAUAAUCUAAUAGAUCUAGGCCCACGAGAUCGGAUCCAACCUAGGAUGAGCAUUUGGUGGCCACAAUAAACUUUUGAAAAGCAGAAAACCCUAACACUAGGAGCAACCAUCCAUCUAACGGACAAUAUCAACCCCAAAGCACUAAUCCAACCGUUAAAUCUUAAUAAAAAAACACUAUAAAAAUCUAGGCAAGCACUUCAGAUUUUUGUCCAUCGCCUCGCAGCCAGCCACUGCCUCUCUCAAAACUUCUCUGCUCCUACUCUCUUAUCAUUUUGCCGAGGUAGUAUCGUUCUAUUGCUUUCUCGUUUAUCCGAAAUCUCUCAUUUUUGUCUUUUUAGCCUUGUGUUGCCGAUCUAGUAGGCUUUUUUGAUCUUUUUUUCUGAUUGUUUUUGCUGUAAAACUGAAGAAGAACUAGUUUUGUCAAGCUAUAUGUUAUUCGCUAUACGUUUAUUUGAUUGGUUCGUGACUGUGAUUGUGUACAUGCGAUGGUAUUUACUACUUUACAUGGUGAUGAUUUGAAAAGAAUUUUCCCUUUAUGAAAAGUGGUGAGUAAUCAGGGCUGGAGUCUCAGAAAUGGCUCUUUUUUUGCCGAAACCCUAGAUGGGUUUUUGGAAAGAAAUACCGAUGAGCUUGAGAAUUGGCAUGAUAAUGUCUGCCAUAGGCCUUUGGUUUUUUCGGGGAAAAAUCUUUUCUUUUCAUUUGCUGGUGUUUUGUGGUUAAUACCCUUGUAAGUUUACAAUUCAAAGGGUUGUUUUAUGGAACCAAUAGUGGUCCUUUCUUUUUCUUUAUUUCAUAUUAGUAUAUCUUAAUUGUAAAAAAAAACUUUGAAAUCAUUUUUAUUCAGUUUAAGCUUAUUUGUGAUUAGUAUUUUAGUUGUUAUUAUGAUGAUUUCAACUAGAUCUAUUUAAUGAUAUUAACAGCGAUUUAAUUUUUUGUGGGUCUUUGAAAUACUAGAUAAAAUUAUUAUAUUUUGAUUGUUAUGGUCCUUAUUGGUUGGAUUUUAUAUUUAAACAUUAAUUGAAGGAGAAUCUGAUUUAUUACUAUUGAUGUUUUCUUUGGAUAUAUUAUUUUUUGUUGAUAUUUUAGUUCUUGAGGUAAAACAAUAUUGAAGCUCACGAGUCUUGCAGAGGUUAUAUCAAAAGGUUGAAGCAUGUCUCACCGCAAGUUUGAACACCCUAGACAUGGCUCUUUGGGAUUUCUCCCAAGAAAAAGAGCCUCCCGCCAUCGAGGAAAAGGUUUCUUAUGCUCUUUAACCUGAAGUUAUAAACAUUACAGUUAAAGAUAACACAUUGGAAGCAUUCUAUUUCUACAUGAUUAAUGUGUACCUUCAGGCUAUGAUUUAAUUUUUAGUUGGGUUUUGUGAGAAGGUUGUCUUUUCUCCAAUAUGUACCUUCAAGUAUCAUUGCUUUAUUGCCUAAUGUGCAGUCCCAUGUUUGGUUUUUGCAACAAAGAACAACUCUGGUAAAGGAUUUAUAUGGGUCAUUUUAAUAUAGAACGAUAUAGAAUGGGUCAAGUGAGACAGCAAAGAUUGGUCAUCUGGGCUUCCUACUAUCAUCUCCUUAAUAACCAUUAAAUUUUAUUGUCCUAUCUUGCAAAUCGGGAGUUAGAUGAACUGCCUUGCAGUAUUAUAUUGUCAUAAUCCCUGACACAGAUAAGCUUGAUAUUAUUUCUAAUUUAUUUUUGUUAGACAUAGUGGUAUUUGCAUUUAUCAAGGUUGGCUUCAUAUAACUUAUUUGUAUCAACUUGCAUUCUCUGUGUAUUGAAUUUUGUUCUUUUUGAUGAUGUUACAGCAAAGGCCUUUCCCAAGGAUGAUCCAAAAAAACCUUGCAGAUUGACUGCGUUCCUAGGUUACAAAGCUGGGAUGACUCAUAUUGUCCGAGAAGUUGAAAAGCCAGGCUCAAGUGAAUUUCUUUAGUUUUUCUCGAUUAUCCUUCUGGAUGGUAGCUCUUUUUUAUCUCUAGGUUUGGUGAAGGAACUUGUUUGAUACGCUGUUGCCUAUAAUUUAUCUAGAUCUCAUCAUGUUUGAUUGGGUUAGAAUGCAGGGAUGCGUUGUCCUUGUAGCAUGUGUUUUGGACCAAACACUAUAAUAUUAACAAUGAGAGGCCAAAACUUUUAGCCUUGUUGUUGCCAGGGCCACCCCAGACCACUUGGAAUUGUCUCUGAUAGCAUGUUUAUAUUGAAUUUGAUGAUUUUACACCUCUUUUUCCAAUAAAACAUGUCUGGGUUGCUUGGAAUUGGGGAUUGAUUGGGAGUAUUAAUUUGAAAGUGUGCACAAUUGUAAUUUGCAGCCCUGCAUUGCUGCUUUCUGUUGUGCAAUUUGUUGUUUGUAUGUCCUUUUUGUGUACCCCUUUUUGAUGUUCUGUUUCUGCACAUUUUUAAAGCAGCCGGAAGGAAGAUUAAAAUAUUCAUUGUAACACUUUGAUUCACCUCUAGCUUAUGUGCUCAUUAAUUCGUUCUUCAUUUGUCUUCCAGAGCUCCACAAGAAAGAAACAUGUGAAGCUGUUACAAUCAUAGAAACACCACCAAUGGUUGUUGUUGGGGUUGUUGGCUAUAUCAAUACUCCUGGUGGUUCUCCGGUCUCUGAGCACUGUAUGGGCCCAGCAUUUGAGUGAGGAGGUUAGAAGGAGAUUCUACAAAAACUGGUGCAAGUCAAAGAAGAAGGCUUUCACAACGUACUGUAAGAAGUACGAGUCUGAGGAUGGGAAAAAGGACAUUGAGGCUCAAUUGGAGAAACUGAAAAAAUAUUGCACUGUGAUUCGUGUGUUGGCGCAUACUCAGGUAUUCUACACUUGCAUCCUUAUUUAAUGAGUCUGUUUGAUUAUUAAUAAUCUUACUCUGAAAUUACUGAGCUAUAAUAUCUGGAAUCCAAAUACCAGACAUCAAUAGCAAACUUUUAAUUGCUGACGUCUUAAUUUUGGUGUCCAUGCUCUUGAAUAUUUUUGUUUAUCUAGGCAGUUUCUUGAUGUUCAGAUUCCCCCUUGUUUGUUAUUACUGUGGUCUGGUUUAGACUCUAGAUGAAUGUGAUUUCAAGGAUAUCUAAAGGUGGUGUUGUUGGCAUGGUUUAUGUAGAUUCGGAAAAUGAAAGGACUGAAACAGAAGAAGGCCCAUUUGAUGGAGAUCCAGGUCAACGGCGGGGAUGUUGCCAAGAAGGUUGACUUUGCUUACAGUUUCUUUGAGAAGCAGAUUCCUAUUGAUGCUAUUUUCCAGAAAGAUGAAAUGAUUGACAUUAUUGGUGUAACCAAGGGAAAGGGCUAUGAAGGUGUGGUCACUCGUUGGGGUGUGACUCGACUCCCUCGCAAGACUCAUCGUGGUCUUCGCAAGGUAGCUUGUAUUGGUGCAUGGCAUCCAGCUAGGGUCUCAUUUACUGUUGCAAGGGCUGGGCAGAAUGGUUACCAUCACCGCACAGAGCUAAACAAGAAAAUUUACAAGCUUGGGAAGUGUGGUCAAGAGUCUCAUUCUGCAGUUACUGAAUAUGACAGGUAAAUGUAUCUUUUUUGUAGUUUGUCCCUACUGUGAUUUUAGUCCUUAGCAUUCACCAAGAUUGAUUGAUGUUGAGCAUCUGCCUCUUCUCACAAUAUUAUGAUAUUUGGUCAUGAACAACAGGACUGAAAAGGGCAUUACACCAAUUGGAGGAUUCCCCCAUUAUGGUGUUGUGAAGGAGGAUUAUUUGUUGAUAAAAGGAUGCUGCGUGGGCCCCAAGAAACGUGUGGUAACACUGAGGCAGUCUCUGUUGAAGCAGACAUCUAGAGUUGCUAUGGAGGAAAUUAAACUCAAGUUCGUUGAUACAUCCUCCAAAUUUGGCCACGGACGAUUCCAGACCACUGAGGAAAAGGCCAAGUUUUACGGGCGGCUCAAGACUUGAUUUGCAAUGGAGAGAAUCAGCUUUGCUAGAUUUCUAUUACUGUUCAAUAGUCUUCAACUGUUGGUUUGAUUCUGGAUUCACUUGUCAUCCUUGUCUUCUUCAAUUUGGAAAUUCUUAUCUCUAAUAUAUUUUCGGUGCCAAAUUAUUAUCUUAAACCUUCCUUUUUACACCUUGAGCCAAAAAAGACCUUUGUUGGAGGUUAUUGUUGAAUACAAUUAUAACGUUUGGUAUCGUAAUUUCACAAAAUAAUAAGAAAAUCAAACCCGAAGGGGUAAUUUAUUAUUAUUAUAUUUUGAAAAUAAACACAUACAUGUAAUAGUGGCAUCAAGAGGUAUUUUACCGAGAGUUAUAAGAAAAUUACCCAGGCUGUUGAUAUUUUACCGAGAAUUACAAAAAAAUUACCACCCAUACCAUAAUUACUAACGGAUUUAUUUCAUAAAAAAUAAAUAUUAAUUAUCUACUUAUACUUUGUCAUGGACAUAAAAAAUAAAUAUACAGAUUUUUUAAACAUAUUUUUUACAUUAAAAAAAUUAUAAUAGUAGAUAAAAAAGCUGAUAUAUAUAUAUAUAUAUAAUUUGAUAAUCCACGUUUAUUAUCAUUAACCUUCAUUUUUACCCCUUCUUGAGGGGAAAAAAAAACUUUUGCUGCAGUUUAUAGUUUAAUAUCAUUUUAACAAUUGGUAUCAUCAUGUCCAAAAAUAAUAAGAAAAUCAAACCCUAAGGGGUAAUUUAUUAUUAUUAUAUUUUGAAAAUAAACACAUACAUAUAAUAGUGGCAAUCAAAUAAACUCUUGACAAUUUUAUAUUUUUUGAUCACUUAAGAGAGAAGCAUGUCUAGAAUCGGGCGAGCUCUACACAUAGCUCUAAGGGCUCAACUUUUGACAUAGUUAUUGCUAUCUUCUCUGCCAUGUCAAUCUUGUUUUCACCAACCCUUUCCCACUCAAAACACUGUAUCAACGAUCCCAAAGUUAAGAUCAUUGCUCUUUUUGCUAGGCCAUCUCCAGGACAAGCUCUCCUUCCCAUCCCGAAGGGGACGAAGUUGCAUGCAUCAACUCUGCCUGCAGAUUCAAAUCUCUCAGGCUUAAAACUUGUGGGCUCAUCCCACAGUGUAGGGUGGUCUCUAUGGAGAGACCAUGCGUUUACAAAUAAUAUGGUCCCAGCUGGGACAUGGUAUCCUCCAAUGGUACAGUCGGAGGAUGGCAUGUGCGGUGGUAUAAGCGGUGUCACCGGACAUAAACGCAGAUUCUCCGAUAUGAUGCUCUGAAGGUAAUGUAGUUUUGCAAAAUCUGAGUCUUCUAUCAAGCGGUCUCCAACUUGAGCGUCCAGUUCUGCUUUAGCUUUCCUUAGCACGUCUGGAUGGUUGAGUAGAUUGGCUAAUGCCCAUUCCAUAGAUGUUCCUUAGCAACAGUCUCUGUUCCCCCAAGCAACAACACCUACACAAAAUAUUUAGUGAAUUAAACUCAAGCCAGCUCCGACCCGAAAGCUAAGAUGAGAAGGGUUUACAGUCUCUGUUCUCCUUUUUUCUCUCCAUUAUCUCCCAUUAUUUGGCGCAUGCCAAUAAUUUUUUUCUCCCAUUAUUUGGCGCAUGCCAAUAAUUUUUUUCUCUUUUUCUCCCAUUAUUUGUCCUUAUCUUUCUCUUUCCUUAAUUUGGCUAAUUUAAAAACUGAAAUGAAAAAACACAAGGAAAACUAUCUAUCACGUGUUUGCACACGUGUCAUCUAAUGGCGAUGCAUGUCAUGUCAUGCUACCAUCGAUGAUGAUCUUUAUUUUGUUGAUUUUAUCUUGUCAAAAAAAAAUUAUUAGUUUAAUACGUUGGAUUAGGUCGGGUUGAGAAAAAUACAUGAUGAAUUGUUUAAUACGUUGACACAAAAUUUGAUGAAGCGGUGGAGAGAAAAACAGGUGGCUUUAGGCAUAAUUUGUGGUUUUGUUUCCCUUUUUAGUGAAUGAAACUCUAAGAAAUUGAAAGGGGAGAUGAUACCAAAAGAUCAAACCGUAAGAAAAAUUGAGUGAAUCAAAACAAAAACAUCAUUUGACUAUGUCAUCAGUGUAGUAUUCAGGCUGUUCUUCUUGCAAAGCGAGAAACCGGUUUAUCAUAGUGUUUCUGUCCCUGUCAUCUCGAUGCUCAUCAACCAGUCCCUGUAAGAACACAUCCAUCUUCUUAUUUAGUCUAUCCAACUUCUUCAAGUAGCCUGUAAUAUCAACCCACUGCAACAUUGGAAUCAGAUGCCCCACAUUUAUCAUGGAAAUAUAUGCAAAAAACACUUCCAAGAUCUCCCUCAAAAUCCUGGCCUCUUCAAUUUCCUUAACAUCUACGCAGAGGGAUGCAAAUACAGGGAAUAAGAUGGUUUAUGAACUCCAUCCUGUGAUGACACUCACAUCCAGUAAUCCUACUUGCAUGCAGGGAUUAUGAUGGGAAAGUUACUCCUGAGGAGGUGGCAGCUGCUGCGAUGUACUUGAAGGAUACAUCAGGCAAGGAAGGCAUCCAAGAACUCAUCAGCUGCUGCGAUGUACUUGAAGGAUGUAUCAUUUUGAAUGUGUCUGCAUGUUUCAACAUUCAUCACUUCUUAUUAGAGGAUUAAUGCAUUUGUUCUCUUGAGCUCAGCUCCUACAUGCAAACUGGUUUUGGUUCUAAGAAGCCACAUCUUAUUUUGCUGAAUUAUAGAAGACAUCUUAUCAUCUUUCCUCUUUUUACCAUGCCACAUGAAAAAAUAUUUCUUCGCCGCUAAAGCAAACAAGUCAUACCUCUUAUUUACCAAGAACCUAGUCAACAGAUAAUUUUCUCAAUCCAAUUGGGUGUUUUGAGUUGCUUAUGAAAAUCUAUCAAGGGUCAGAAAAUUAACAUGAUGCUUUUCUUCUACCUUGUAGUUUUUCUCUGCUUCUUGUCAUUUUGUUGAGCAUUUGCUAAAUUUAGUAUUUUCUUCUUUUUUACCUUGUAUAACUGAUGCCUAGAUCAUUUUGAAUCGAACAGAUGGAAAGAUUCUUGUAGAAGACAAUGUCAAAUUAGGCAGUUGGACGGAAGAUGCCAAAGCAACUGAAGAGAGGGAGAUGUAAAACAAUUUUCCUUCAAAUUCUUUCCUGCUGUUGUCUGGAUAGUACCCUACCUAACGAAUAGUUUAUUUAACGAUAAAAUGGCAUGCCAUCUAAUGUGAUUAGGACCCAUAUCUGUUAGGGUCAUAUAUAUACAAGUAACCUUGGUUUUCCCAGCUCAUUGAUAAAGCUGGACAUGCUUGCUAGUGCUGUAAAAGUGAAUUCUGAUGAAUAUAUAAAUGAUAUAGGUACACAGUACAGAACAAGAAAUCGAUAUAUCUCGUGCCUUUGGAAAUAAAAUGCUCUGUCAAGUUUAUUCUUCAGAUUGAGAAAUCAUGCUUUUGCAUAUGGUGUUGAUCUAGUUGAAUUAGGUGGAUGUGUAAUCAAGUUUAUGAUUGAGGCAAACCACAUCAGCUAAAUAAGAUGCAUUUUCAAGUUUUAAGGCCAUGCAUAUGUAGGCUUUCACACCUUUGAAUCUUUGGUUUCAUGGAACUUCAUUGCAAGUUCUGCUGCAAAUUCCGUAAUAUUCUUAUCAGAGCUUCCGCCUUCAUCCACUGCUGUUUUGGCCAGUUUCAUCCAUUUCUCAGAGUUCCUUCUCAUCUCAUUCCCUCUUAAUUUCACCUUCCAUGACUUCCCUUAUACACCCUUCUACCUCUUCUUUAGUGACAAUCCCCUUUUCAUUUUCAUUCACUCUAUAUAACCCCUAGAUGCCAAACAUCGGCAAUGCACUUUGCAUUUGUUGGUUGAUCAGUCCACUCUGGCAUUGCCACCAUUGGCACUCCUAAGCUCAACGCCUCGAGUGUUGAGUUCCACCCACAAUGAGUCAUGAAGCAACCAACGACGGACUUGUGAGCCAGAACCUCUAGCUGCGGGCUCCAGGUCACAAGCAGAGAUUUCUUUGAUGACUCCUCCACAAAGUUGCUUGGAAGUUUUUUCCUUUCCGAUUCUCUGACUACCUACAGGAAGCAGCAGGAACUCCUCUUUAGGCCCCAAGCAAUUUCUGCCAUUUGCUCCUCUCCAAGUGCAGCCAUGCUUCCAAAUGACACAUAAACCACUAAGCCAGUUUCCUUUGAAUAUAGCCACUCAUUGCACCCGUCCGGAUUGGGAUUGAAGAGGCUGAGACCGUACUCUUUAUCGUCCUCCAGCUGCUUGUCCAAGUAAAAUGAUGGGAUCAUUGGUCCUAUUGGCUUUAUUGACCUUUGGCUUGCCAACCAGUUUACCGCCUGAUGGAAAUCAACAAAAUUUUGAGUGCCACUGAAGUAAAAGGAGCAUACUUUGAAAUAUGGUAUCGUCUUGUGAGCAAAGAAAAGAGAUUGUAAGUAGGAAUUUGAAGCAUUGCUGCUCUCGUUUAUGUUGCUUUGCUUGUCAAUCAUUUGUUGACUGCUUGCUUGUUUGAUCGCACUUAUUUUCAAGUAUUAUUUGUCAUAAUACUGGAAAACUUUGUGGACUUUUGUUGAAACUCAAGGUAACUGCUGAGCCACUUUAUGUGAGGUUUGCUCAAUAAGUAAGCAUAGAGGCCCAUUCCUCCUCGUGUCUGGUCUUCUUUGUCCAGCUCUCAAUUAUGUACUCAUAUUUGACUAGAAAUAGAAUCACUACAAGGCUGCUGGCAUGGUAUCUUCAUAUUUACACGAAAACAUUGUUUUUCAUGGGCUUUUCUACCCAGUUCUCAGUAAACUUUGUGGACUUUUGUUGAAACUCAAGGAAAUAGCUAUUUUCAAGGUUUACAUGGAAAUAGCUUGACUCAUAGCUUGAUCUGGGCUAGUUUUCAAGUUGAAUUGAAACGAACUUUAGCAUAAAUGGCUCGGUUGAAUUCACACGCGAUAAUCUAAUGAUCCAAACUAGAUUUGACAAUUAUACUUCUCGUGCUAUUAUAUCUAGUUCGAUCUCCAGGGGGGGAAAAUGCUAACUUUAAAAGAUUAUAGUAUGAUGGUUAUUAAGAAUGUUUACUAUAUUUUUGGAUUUAAACUUUAGCAACAACGUCCAAAAAAACAAUUAGAUCUGUUAAUAUAUGUAUUAAGGCUGGCAUGGGAGUGCGAUGUAAAUACUACAAAAACACCUUGGAUCAAAGGGGAAUUCUUUAAUAGCAGCUUGUUAUCACAUGCUUAGCAAGAUUGCGAGCUACGAAAAACAAGUAGUAGAUUUUUCUCAGCCUUAAUUCACACCAUUGAGAUCAAGUAGAAGCAAGAGUUUCUCCUCGUUUUUUUUCUUAAAGCAGAUAAUCAUAUUUGAUUUAUUGAUAAGAAAAAAAAUAAUUUUUCUAUUAUUGUUAUAUAUUUUAUAUUUUAUUUUAAAAUCAAGUAUAUAAAAUGGAAACUUGUGACAAAAUCUUAAGAUUAUUUUUAGAUGUAACAAUGUCAUAUACUUAUCUUCGUUUUAUAUUUAUAUUUUUAUAAAUAUUUUUUAUGUUUUAAAAUCUUGUUUUAUAUUCCAAGAUAUAUAUAUUUAAUCACAUUUCUAAUAAUAUUGAUUUUUUUUUUGAAAUAAUAAUGACAAUCCUUGCAAACUUGAGUUCGUGACACUUUGAUAUUACGGUAAAAGUCUUUUCGGUGCAUUUUGAUUUUUGUCAAGAAAGAUAGAUUGGAAGUAUCCAUUAAUUUUGUGUAUUGUAAUAGAAUCGUCUGUUAAGCUUGGCUUAACAAAAUUAAUGAAGCAGAAGGAAAACAGAGAAAUGAGAGAAGAAAUAUGACUCUUACAUAUUAAUGCCAGAAAUAAAAAUAUACUUUAUUUGAACAAAAGGAAAUGCCAGAAGAUGUCCGUUGUAGAACAACACCCAAAAUAAGUUCUGAAACUUGGAAAAAAAGUGAGCAUCAAACUAGAUUCUAAAAUCAACGCUUAAUCACAUCUUUGACUUGUCAUUAGUUUAAAACAAAUACAAAUAAUUUCUUAACAUCACUUGUAAUAAUAAGUUUGGAAUUUUUAAUAAUUUAUUACUUGAAUUGGUUCAAAUAAUUCUGAGUGAACUGGGUUUUUCAAAAUAGUGUUCAUCCAUAGUAAUUUUCGUCAUGUGAGGCCAUUCUGAAGGAGAAUGGCAUUGGAUCUAAUGUAGCAUACACGGCGGGCGGAAACGCUUCGACAAUGGGGUGGUUGAGUAUUUACGGAGGUGGUUGGGUAUUUACGGAGGUGGUUGGGGGGUUCUUUGAAUUUGUUUUUAUUAGCUGGUAAAUACCCUCUCUGACCCGUGGCCCAUCGCCGGUGGACUUGCUUGGCAAAUAAUGAUGAUAUUAAUAAAAACUACAUCUUGAGAAAACACGGCUCCACGUGCUCACCAACUUCUGUCAUAGUCAUUAAAUUCAAUUACAAAUCGAUAAAGGACGACAGCUAAAUUAAUCUAAUUUUUUCUUUAAAAAAAUUUAAUGACUUUUUUAACCUGAUUUUCAUCCGGUCGCAUGUUAAUUCAGGUUUUUUUUAUUGAUUCUUAUUAAGUCAACUUUCUAUGUGGAGUUGGAAAAUGCCCUACGUUUAUGAGAUGAGAUGAGAUGAUAUUCUAUAUGUUUCCAUAUUUCUUUCAAUUAAGUAUCUUUAUUUAUUUUCAUUCAAGUCUAUAUUUCUCAAUUCUAGUAUAUUAAUUUCUAUUUUAUUUGUAAUUUUUUAAAAAAUGUAAGUUGAUAUUUUUCCAACUGAUAAUGCCAGAAAAAUGAUUUUGUUAUUUCUUGCGUGACUCUUACAUAAUCCUCCUACGUACCAUUAUAUACUUACACGAUUUAUUAUAUUGUAAACUAACUCUAACCGACCCCUACCCUAAUUAAUCUGCACUAACAAUGCUCCAACUUGUUGUGUAAACUACUUUGCUUUUUCUUCAUAGACAUGCAUUAACUUGUUGUGUUCAUUUGAUAUUGUGAAAUAAAAAAGUUUCUUCCUUGACUUUUUUAAUGGAUUGAAGUGAUUUGCCGACAAUUUCAUCAUCCACUUGCACUUCUUUUUCUUCGUAGACUUGUGAAGUCAAGAUUCCCAAAGAUCAAUAUCAUCAAUUAAUUGUUGCUAAUUUGGUUGAAGAAAGAAAUAUUUGUUAAGCUGAUUUACUUCCAUAUUAAUUAUUGUUGGAUUCUUAAUCUGAAUUUUAGAGUGGUUCUAACUUCUUAAUCUGAAUUGAUGGAAACAAUUUACUUUCUUAAUUAUUGUUAAUAUGUUGGAUAUGUAAUUACCAGUGUACUUAUAUACUUUUUUUCUCAACCAAACCCUUCAACUCCAUAAUAUUUGAAAAAAAUAAAAAUAAAAACCCAUUAAUUCUCUAUGAAUUAUAAAGAAGUAUAAUUUCUAGAAGCAAACAAUCAUAAUUUAUCUUUGACAUUUCAAACAAUUUGUUGUCUAUCAUCUUUUCAUGGGCCCUACAAUUAUUUUCAUUAGUAUAUUAUUUGUUUGUUGUUGUUUUUCUUCAAGCUUGUGGAACGAGGUGUCCACGAACUUGUUGUUUAAGCUAUUUUGCUUCUUUUUUUUUUCAUAGACUUGGAAAGUCAUUCCGACAAGUCUCUUAAUCUCAUCAUCCACUAGCACUUGUUUUUCUUCUUCGUAGACCUGUGAGCUCAAGAUUCCCAAUCAUCCACUUCAUCAAUCUCUAUCCCGUCAAAAUGAAUUUGGGGCAAGAAAACAAUAUCAUUCAAUAAAUUAGAAAGUGUAAAUUGUAAAACCCAACCCAUAAGAUAAGAUAUAUCUUCAUAGUAGUUUUUGUUUUUUUUUUUUUUUUUUCUUAUCAUAUUUACUAUCGCAAUAAUACAUCAUUGCAACAUUUAUUUUUAGAUUUAUUUAAAUCCUAGAUAAUAAUAUAUGAAAGAGAAAACCAUUUACUACUUAUGAUCGUCAUCAACUCAAGAAUUAUAAUCUCUUAUCAUUUGUUUUUUAUUAGGCCCUAAUAACAUUAAGAUAUAUUCCAGUUUUGAUCAUUUUUUAGGGAAUAGGUUAAAAAAAAUACCCUAAAAUUUGGAUCAAUAUGAAAUUAGAAAUUUAGAUAAAACAUGGAUGUGUUUGAAUGAUGAAAUUUAGGGCAGAAAUGGCGUGUACAGACAGAGUAUGCCAAGAACCAGUAAGUUACUAUUUUUUUAUUUUUCACCAGUAAGUUAUCCUAGUGCUUGCUAGGACUAGCACAACAAACAGAUUAAAAGAAUGAAGUUUCACCAAUCUGUCAUCAGAGUCUGUAAAUAUUGUUACAAAUGAUUUAAGUUUGUUUGCCAAAUUUUUCAAGAACAUGUUUGUCUUUGAUGGCUUAUUGUCAUAGCUGUGAACUCUGAAGAAAAGUGAUCUUAGAAACCAAAGUCCUGCAAUGUCAUCAGAGUCUGUGAACAUGUUGUUCUCUUUUUUAGCUAAUCUUUCUGGGUAGGUUCUCUGGUUUGAGGCUGGUGCUGAAGAAAGGGGAAGCCGACGCUGCUACUUUUUAGUUUUCUCUGCUUCUUGGAUAUUCCUGGGCUGGGUUCCUUUAAUUUUGUAAUUGCUGCAAAGUCGUAAAAGCUGCCUUCACUUUCAUUGGUGGGGACCCCUUCUGUGCAUUUUUAUAAAAUUCAAAGUUGGCUUCCCCUUUUCUUUGGUGGGAACUCCUCUUGUAAUUUCCUAAUGCUUCAGUGGGAACCAUGUCAUAAUUAAUUCGUAGACUUGACCCAUGAUCGGUCACUUUCGUAUUGAAUGAGGAUGGACCCUGUUUAUAUAAAUAUCCAGUUUAAUAAAUUCAUAUAGUUAAUUACUGUUUUUUAUAAAUAAAAUUACUGAGAUUAAAAAGUUGUUAGUGUUAUUUAAUGAUUUUUUAAAAAAUUUAAAUUAAAUAUUAUAUACGGAAUGAUUACCACAUUAAAAAAUUAAAAAGUGAUCGUUGAUAUUUUGUAAUUGCUUUCACUUUCGUUGGUACGAACUCCUCAUGUAAUUUCCUAAUGCUUUAGUAGUAAACAUGCAAUUAUUAAUUCGUCGACUUGACCCAUGAUCGACGCCACGGGCUUAUGAUAUGCUUUUGUAUUAUUGUGGAUUUGUGAAAAAAAUUAUAUAAAAAAAAACUGUUAUCAUCAACACUAUUUUAAAGAAAAAAUCUACGAAGUUAUAUUCUUAACCAAUUUAAUAUUAAAAAAACAAAAUCGACAAAAAUAAUUAUGAAAACAAAAAACACAAAAAAAGAUGAAAAAAAAAAGAUGAUAAUUUUGAAAGAAAAAAAAGCAAAAAAUAAAAAUAAAAAAAUGAAAAAAAAAAACAUGUGGGGAAAGUUAAAGUUAAAUUUUCAACUAGUUCAAUGUUAAAAUCAUUUAAGAAAACACUGUAGCAAUCUAUAGUGUUUUGCGAGGAAAUAUACAAUUAUAAUUCUCAAUCAGCUUAAUAUUAAAAAAAAUCAACAAAUAUAAUUUUGACAAAUAUAAAAAAAAACAAAAAAAAAUAAUAUGUCGGGAAACACUAUAACAAUCUAUAGUGUUUCAUGAAAAAUUAAACUAAUUCCAUGAAGUGAUUUAAGUUUCACCAAUCUGUGCUCCCUUCGUGUUCUAAGCUCUCUCCCCGUUUUUUCCCCCUGUUUAAGCUUUCUUGUACUGCUCGCUCUGCCUCUCUGUUUUCUCCUUCCCUCGGUUCUGCUUUUUUUCUCCUCUCUGUUCUGUUUUCUUUCUCUGGCUUUAUAGCCAGUGAAUGCCCCCCUUACCCAGGUAAUAAAGUGACUGUUAUUGCAGGAUUAAUGGCGAUGCAUCGUUGGGCAUCCGUUUUUUUCGGUCAGGCAAAGAAGAUGAACAGUGUUGAUGGCCAUUUGCGUUUUGGUCCUUGACGUUUUGAAAGUUCUGCAACCAAGCUCCCUGGAUAAACUUUAAUUGGACCCCUGUCUUUUAUCACCAUUUACAGAAUUGUCCUUAGACUUCAAUUUCCUGCAGUUUUAACCUAAAUCAGCCCCAAGCUUUAGUAUUUCUUCAAUUAAACCCCUGAUUUCAUAAAUUAAACUAAUUCCAAGUUCAAUUAAUUCCAAAACUUGUCAAUUCUUCAAUUAAGCUUUUAAUUUGGUUAAUAAAACUAAUUCAAAGUUUAAUUAAAUCCCCAAACUUCUAACCAUGUUGUCCUUACCCAAAAUUUAAUUAAUUCUUUAUUUAUUUUAUCAUUUUUUUACUUGUUUUUUUCUUUUUUCAUCAUCAUUUUUUUUUAUUAUCAUUUUUUAGGAAAUAAAAUAAUAAUAAUAAUAAUUUUUAUUAUCAACAGAUAAAAAAUUAUUGAUAAAAGAUUCGCUGGCGGAGAAUUUCUGUCGGUGAUUUUGUUGGUAAAUUAAUUACCAACGGAAUGAUAGUGUAAACACCGAUGGAAAAAUCCGUCAGUAAAUGUAAAGAUUGUGGUAGUGACAAAGAUUCCUCAAAAGAAGUAAUGGAUGCUUGUUUGUUUAGUUAGUAAGUUAUUUUUAGACUUAAGAUAAUUAAAAUAUUUUAUAAAUAGAGUGUUGUGUUUUUAUCCUACUACAUGUUGUCCUAAUUAAGGGUAACAAAUGGGUAAAUAUUGGGUAUAACAUCAAUUAUAUGAAGAUAUUUUAGUAAUCAAAAGAAGAUUCAUCACUAUAGGUGAAUUAGAGAAAAUAUUUCAUAUAUUCACAAAUAAUAUUAAUUGUGAAAGGUAGAAUGAAAUUUGAAAAGAGUUUUAAAUCUUAUUUUAUAACAUAGUAUAAAAAUGGGACAACAUUACAAUUACUAUAGUGAAACAUCAUUUCCUUUUAUUAUUUGUAUAAUAUUUUUUUAAAAAAAAAGUGUAAGGGAAAAAAUAUAAAAAAAAUUACAAAAUAAUGAAGAUAAAAACACAAAGAAAUGUUUAUAAAUUAAAUAGGCCAAAUUUAAAGUGUUAAAUAUGCCAAGUAUAAAGAGGGAAAAAUCUAACAAAAAUAUGUCUAAAAAACCCAAAAAUAUAUAUAUUUGUCAUCACUACAAUACCUUAUUUUUGGAUUAAAAUAAAAAUUAUCAUAAAUUUUGUGUCAGGAAAGUAAUUAUUUUUCUAGUUUUACUUUUCAGUCCUCUUUCUUUAAGUUUUGUUUUUUUAUGAUAAUUUGAAGCUAAUUCAAUUUAAUUUGGUUUGAAAUUAAAAGGAAAAAAAGGUUAAAAUAAAACAACAAGCAAAAUUAAACUGACCCAUGUCUUUGCUAAUAUUAAAGUACUAUGCUCUUCACUGUGUUUAAUUUAUAAUUUUAUAUAGUUCAAAGUCUGUUCAUAUAUUAAUUGACUGAACGGUCCAAUACGACCACUACCAUGAUUUUGUAAUUACUGCUAAGUUGUAAAAGUUGCCUUCACUUUCAUUGGUGGGUACCCCUUCUGUGCAUUUUUAUAAAAUUCAAAGUUGGCUUCCGGUGGGAACUCCUCUUGUAAUUUCCUAAUGCUUCAGUAGGAACCAUGCCAUAAUUAAUUCGUAGACUUGACCCAUGAUCGGUCACUUUCGUAUUGAAUGAGGAUGGACCCUGUUUAUAUAAAUAUCCAGUUUAAUUAAUUCGUAUGGUUAAUUACUGUUUUUUAUAAAUAAAAUUAUUGAGAUUAAAAAGUUGUUAGUGUUAUUUAAUGAUUUGCUAAAAAUUUUAAAUAAAAUUAAAAUUUUAAAUUAAAUAUUAUAUACAAAAUGAUUACCAAAUUAAAAAAUUAAAAAGUGAUGGUUGAUAUUUUGUAAUUGCUUUCACUUUCGUUGGUGCGAACUCCUCUCUUAAUUUCGUAAUGCUUGAGUAGUAACCAUGCAAUUAUUAAUUCGUCGACUUGACCCAUGAUCGAUUCCCUUUUGUAUUGAAUGAGGAUGGACCCAGUUUAUAAAAGAGUAUUGUUCUCAAGACCACAUAAUAUAUAUAUAUAUAUAUAUAUAUAUAUGUGCAGGCAGAGUAACAAAACAAAACCAUAAUUUUUAUUACCAACAAACUUAUCAACAAACAAAAAAUUAUUGAUAAAAGAUUCACUGGCAAAGAAUUUCUAUCGGUGAUUUUAUUGGUAAAUUAAUUAUCAAUGAAAUGAUAGUGCAAAUACCGAUGGAAAAAUCUGUUGGUAAAUGUAAAGAUUGUGGUAAUGACAGAGAUUCCUCAAAAAAAAUAAUGGAUACUUGUUUGUUUAGUUAGUAAGUUAUUUUUAGACUUAAGAUAAUUAAAAUAUUUUAUAAAUAGAGUCUUGUGUUUUGAUCCUACUACAUGUUGUUCUAAUCAAGGGUAACAGAUGAAUAGAUAUUGGGUAUAACAUGAAUUAUAUGAAGAUAUUUUAAUAAUCAAGAGAAGAUUCAUCACCAUAGGUGAAUUAAAGAAAAUAUUUCAUAUAUUCACAAAUAAUAUUGAUUGUAAAUUCUUGUGAAAGGUAGAAUGAGAUUUGAAAAGAGUUUUAAAUUUUAUUUUGUAACAUAGUAUAAAAAUGGGACAUUACAAUUACUAUAGUGAAACAUCAUUUCCUUUUAUUAUUUGUAUAAUAUUUUUUAAAAAAAAAAAAGUGUAAGGGAAACAAUAUAAAAAAAAUUACAAAAUAAUGAAGAUAAAAACACAAAGAAAUGUUUAUAAAUUAAAUAGGCCAAAUUUAAAGUGUUAAAUAUGCCAAGUAUAAAGAGGGAAAAAUCUAACAAAAAUAUGUCUAAAAAACCCAAAAAAAUAUAUAUUUGUCAUCACUACAAUACCCUAUUUUUGGAUUAAAAUAAAAAUUGUCAUAAAUUGAAAAAAAGGUUAAAAUAACUCAAAAAUACUCAUAAAAAGGUAAAAAUUGAGGAUUGGCAGUGGUAGGCAACGAGGAGGAUUGUACUAUCUAGAGGGUGGCACAUCAUCACAAGUUUACCAUAGUCUAGCACAUAUGAUGGGUAAAAAUCAAUCGGCAAAUAUUGCAGAAAUAUGGCUUUGGCAUAAAUGGCUCGGUCAUCAAUCGUUUGGAUAUAUUAGACGAUUGUUUCCUUCUUUAUUUGCUAACUGCAAACUUUCAGACUUCAUUUGUGAGACAUGUGCUAUGGCUAAAAGUCAUCGUGCUAUAUUUCCUUUAUCUUCUAAUAAAGUUGCUUCACCAUUCUCAUUAGUACAUUCAGAUGUAUGGGGUCCCUCCCCAGUUUUCACAGCUAAUGGAAUGAAAUGGUUUGUUACCUUUGUGGAUGAUUGUACUCAAAUGACCUGGGUAUACUUACUAAAACAUAAGAGUGAUGUCUGUACAAUUUUUUGUCUCUUUUAUCAAAUGAUACUCACUCAGUUUGACAGGACUAUUAAGGUGGUACGUUCAGAUAAUGGAGGUGAAUACUUCAAGAGAGAGUUAACUGAUUUUUUCCAUUCAAAAGGUAUCAUUCAUCAAACAUCAUGUCCAGAGACUCCACAACAAAAUGGAGUGGCUGAGCGGAAAAACCGACAAUUACUUGAGGUCAUUCGAUCACUAAUGAUUGGAAGUAGUGUGCCUACUUUCUUAUGGGGAGAUGCUCUCAGUACAGCUGUUUAUGUGAUUAAUCGUACACCUUCCAGUACCUUAUUCUUUCAACGACCUCUUGAUGUCCUUGCUAAUCAUUGCAUGCUUCCGCCUUUGGUUAAAUUGAUGCCUCGUAUCUUUGGAUGUGUAACUUAUAUACACCUUUCACAUCGACAUCGAACCAAACUUGAGUCAAGAGCAUUGAAAUGUGUCUUUGUUGGUUAUGGGUCUACUCAAAAAGGUUAUAAAUGUUAUCAUCCAGACACUCGUCGGUUUUAUACCUCUAUGGAUGUUAUCUUUGAUGAGUCAAAAUUCUAUUACUCUCCUACAGAUUUAACGCCUACAUGUCUUGAAGAUGUUCACCACCUUGCCAAUCAUGAAGAAAUCUUGUGUUUUGAUAUAAAAUUAGCAACUCUACCCACUAGUAAACCAUCGGAUGAGGACACCUCUACUAUGGAAACACCUACAGUUAUUGAUUCGUGUUCACUGGACACAUCUACAGCUAUUGAUCCUUGUUCACAAGACUCUAAUGAUCAUUGUGAAAAGUCUCACCAACCUCUUGAUAGUACAUUACCUCCUAGUGCACCGGUCAACUCCUCUCCAGAGCCCUUGUCGAUACCAACAUUACAGGUACAACCCAACAAUUCUUCUGAAAUUUGUUUGCCAUCUGACAUUGCUCAUCAUGCACUUCCACAACGAUCUACUCGUGGGAUUCCACCUGUUAAGUAUGAACCUGAUCCAAAAGCCAAAGUAAAAUACCCAAUAAGUAAUUAUAUCUCCUCUCACAAGUUGUCUGCAUCAUAUGCAUCUUAUGUGUGUAAAUUAUCCUCUAUCUCUAUUCCUAGUACAUUACAGGAAGCUUUGGCAGAUUCUCAUUGGACUACAGCUAUGACAGAGGAAAUGAAGGCUCUAAAAAAAAAUGCUACAUGGGAUCUUGUUACCCUCCCAACAGGAAAAAAAACUGUUGGAUGUCGAUGGGUUUUUUCUGUCAAACAUAAUGCAGAUGGAACUAUUGAAAGAUACAAGGCAAGACUGGUUGCUAAAGGGUACACACAAUCUUAUGGAGUUGACUAUCAAGAAACUUUCGCUCCAGUUGCUAAACUCAAUACUGUGCGAGUUCUUCUAUCUUUAGCAGCUAAUAAAGACUGGCCUUUACUCCAAUUCGAUGUAAAAAAUGCAUUCCUGCAUGGAGAUCUUAAAGAGGAUGUGUAUAUGGAUCCACCUCCUGGAAUUUCAGAAUAUGAAGGUUCUACUCAGGUUUGCAAACUCAGGAAGGCUUUGUAUGGCUUGAAACAAUCUCCUAGAGCUUGGUUCGGUAGAUUUACUCAAGUCAUGAAAAAGUUUAGUUAUACUCAGAGUAACUCAGAUCAUACUUUGUUUAUAAAGCAUAAAAUGGGUAAACUCACUGCCUUGAUUAUAUAUGUUGAUGAUAUGAUAGUGACAGGUGAUGAUGCUGAGGAAAUUCUUUGCUUACAACAUCAUUUGGCAUCCGAAUUUGAAAUGAAAAAUCUUGGAGACCUUAAAUAUUUCCUCAAGAUUGAGAUAGCUCGUUCCAAACAUGGUAUAUUUAUGUCACAACGUAAAUAUACUCUUGAUUUGUUGUCUGAAACAGGGAUGCUUGGAUGUAAACCAGUUGAUAAUCCAAUGGAGCAAAAUCAUAAACUCUUUCAAUGUUCUAGUGCUAGUUGUACAGAUAAAGGGAGAUAUCAGAGACUUGUGGGAAAAUUAAUCUAUUUAUCCCACACUCGACCUGACAUUGCUUAUGCCGUGAGUGUUGUAAGUCAAUUUAUGCAUAAUCCACGUCAACCUCAUAUGGAUGUUGUGGAACGUAUAUUGCGGUAUUUAAAAUCUUCACCAGGCAAGGGACUAUUAUUCUCCAAACAUGGACACUUAGGUGUUGACGGGUAUACUGAUGCUGAUUGGGCUGGUUCAGCUGAUGACCGACGUUCUACAUCUGGUUAUUUCACCUAUGUAGGUGGCAAUCUUGUGACUUGGAGAAGUAAAAAACAGUCUGUGGUGUCGAGAUCAAGUGCUGAAGCUGAAUAUCGAGGUAUGGCCAUUGGAGUGUGUGAAUUGUUGUGGUUAAAGAACUUGAUGAAAGAUUUGGGGUUCUCUCAAAGAACUGCAAUGAAUCUCUAUUGUGAUAAUAAAUCAGCUAUAGAGAUUGCCCAUAAUCCUGUUCAACAUGAUAGAACAAAGCAUGUAGAAGUGGAUAGACAUUUCAUCAAAGAGAAGCUUGAAGCCGGCAUUAUUCAAUUCCCUUUUAUAAAGUCAGAAUUCCAACUUGCUGAUGUUCUUACGAAAGCAGUAUCCAACAAAGUGCUUACAAGUUGUCUUGACAAGCUGAGCAUGAAUGACAUCCAUGCACCACCUUGAGGAGGGAUGUUAGAAUAUGUGAUUGGGAGUAAUCUUCUCCUAAAAUAACGUAGUGAUUAUUAGCUAUUAUUAGAGAUAGAAUUCAAAUAUAGAAAUAGAAUAUAUCUUUUGUAACAGUAGCGUAAGUUUAGCAACUGACUCUUGUAUAUAUAUCUGCUGCAUUGAUGAAUAAAAUAUCAGAAAAUAUUCUAUUCUCCUUACAAUUAACAUAUAUAGGUUAAAAAAAUACCCUAAAAUUUGGAUCAAUAUGAAAUUAGAAAUUUAGAUAAAACAUGGAUGUGUUUGAAUGAAGAAAUUUAGGGCAGAGAUGGCGUAUACAGACAGAGUAUGCCAAGAACCACUAAGUUAUAUUUUUUUAUUUUUCACCAGUAAGUUAUCCUAGUGCUUGCUAGGACUAGCCCAACAAACAGAUCAAAAGAAUGAAGUUUCACCAAUCUGUCAUAAGAGUCUGUAAAUAUUGUUACAGAUGAUUUAAGUUUGUUUGCCAAAUUUUUCAAGAACAUGUUUGUCUUUGAUGGCUUAUUGUCAUAGCUGUGAACUCUGAAGAAAAGUGAUCUUAGAAACCAAAGUCCUGCAAUGUAAUUCCAUGUUGUUCUCUUUUUUAGCUAAUCUUUCUGGGUAGGUUCUCUGGUUUGAGGCUGGUGCUGAAGAAAGGGGAAGCCGACGCUGCUACUUUUUAGUUUUCUCUGCUUCUUGGAAAUUCCUGGUCUGGGUUCCUUUAAUUGACUGAACGGUCCAAGACGACCACUACCUUGAUUUUGUAAUUGCUGCAAAGUCGUAAAAGCUGCCUUCACUUUCAUUGGUGGGUACCUCUUCUGUGCAUUUUUAUAAAAUUCAAAGUUGGCUUCCCCUUUUCUUUGGUGGGAACUCCUCUUGUAAUUUCCUAAUGCUUCAGUGGGAACCAUGUCAUAAUUAAUUCGUAGACUUGACCCAUGAUCGGUCACUUUCGUAUUGAAUGAGGAUGGACCCUGUUUAUAUAAAUAUCCAGUUUAAUAAAUUCAUAUAGUUAAUUACUGUUUUUUAUAAAUAAAAUUACAGAGAUUAAAAAGUUGUUAGUGUUAUUUAAUGAUUUUUUAAAAAAUUUAAAUUAAAUAUUAUAUACGAAAUGAUUACCACAUUAAAAAAUUAAAAAGUGAUCGUUGAUAUUUUGUAAUUGCUUUCACUUUCGUUGGUACAAAACUCCUCAUGUAAUUUCCUAAUGCUUUAGUAGUAAACAUGCAAUUAUUAAUUCGUCGACUUGACCCAUGAUCGACGCCACGGGCUUAUGAUAUGCUUUUGUAUUAUUGUGGAUUUAUGAAAAAAAUUAUAUAAAAAAAACUGUUAUCAUCAACAAUAUUUUAAAGAAAAAAUCUACGAAGUUAUAUUCUUAACCAAUUUAAUAUUAAAAAAACAAAAUCGACAAAAACAAUUAUGAAAACAAAAAACACAAAAAAAGAUGAAAAAAAAAAGAUGAUAAUUUUGAAAGAAAAAAAAGCAAAAAAUAAAAAUAAAAAAAUGAAAAAAAAAACAUGUGGGGAAAGUUAAAGUUAAAUUUUCAACUAGCUCAAUGUUAAAAUCAUUUAAGAAAACACUGUAGCAAUCUAUAGUGUUUUGCGAGGAAAUAUACAAUUAUAAUUCUCAAUCAGUUCAAUAUUAAAAAAAAUCAACAAAUAUAAUUUUGACAAAUAUAAAAAAAAAUAAAAAAAAAAAAUAUGUCGGGAAACACUAUAAUAAUCUAUAGUGUUUCAUGAAAAAUUAAACUAAUUCCAUGAAGUGAUUUAAGUUUCACCAAUCUGUGCUCCCUUCGUGUUCUAAGCUCUCUCCCCGUUUUUUCCCCCUGUUUAAGCUUUCUUGUACUGCUCGCUCUGCCUCUCUGUUUUCUCCUUCCCUCGGUUCUGCUUUUUUUCUCCUCUCUGUUAAUGCUUUCUUUCUCUGGCUUUAUAGCCAGUGAAUGCCCCCCUUACCCAGGUAAUAAAGUGACUGUUAUUGCAGGAUUAAUGGCGAUGCAUCGUUGGGCAUCCGUUUUUUUCGGUCAGGCAAAGAAGAUGAACAGUGUUGAUGGCCAUUUGCGUUUUGGUCCUUGACGUUUUGAAAGUUCUGCAACCAAGCUCCCUGGAUAAACUUUAAUUGGACCCCUGUCUUUUAUCACCAUUUACAGAAUAGUCCUUAGACUUCAAUUUCUUGCAGUUUUAACCUGAAUCAGCCCCAAGCUUUAGUAUUUUUUCAAUUAAACCCCUGAUUUCAUAAAUUAAACUAAUUCCAAGUUCAAUUAAUUCCAAAACUUGUCAAUUCUUCAAUUAAGCUUUUAAUUUGGUUAAUAAAACUAAUUCAAAGUUUAAUUAAAUCCCCAAACUUCUAACCAUGUUGUCCUUACCCAAAAUUUAAUUAAUUCUUUAUUUAUUUCAUCAUUUUUUUAUUUGUUUUUUUCUUUUUUCAUCAUCAUUUUUUUUAUUAUCAUGUUUUAGGAAAUAAAAUAAUAAUAAUAAUAAUUUUUAUUACCAACAAACUUAUCGACAAAUAAAAAAUUAUUGAUAAAAGAUUCACUGGCGGAGAAUUUCUAUCGGUGAUUUUGUUGGUAAAUUAAUUACCAACGGAAUGAUAGUGUAAACACCGAUGGAAAAAUCCGUCAGUAAAUGUAAAGAUUGUGGUAGUGACAGAGAUUCCUCAAAAGAAGUAAUGGAUGCUUGUUUGUUUAGUUAGUAAGUUAUUUUUAGACUUAAGAUAAUUAAAAUAUUUUAUAAAUAGAGUGUUGUGUUUUGAUCCUACUACAUGUUGUCCUAAUUAAGGAUAAUAAAUGGGUAAAUAUUGGGUAUAACAUCAAUUAUAUGAAGAUAUUUUAGUAAUCAAAAGAAGACUCAUCACUAUAGGUGAAUUAGAGAAAAUAUUUCAUAUAUUCACAAAUAAUAUUAAUUGUGAAAGGUAGAAUGAGAUUUGAAAAGAGUUUUAAAUCUUAUUUUAUAACAUAGUAUAAAAAUGGGACAACAUUACAAUUACUAUAGUGAAACAUCAUUUUCUUUUAUUAUUUGUAUAAUAUUUUUUUAAAAAAAAAAGUGCAAGGGAAAAAAUAUUAAAAAAUUACAAAAUAAUGAAGAUAAAAACACAAAGAAAUGUUUAUAAAUUAAAUAGGCCAAAUUUAAAGUGUUAAAUAUGCCAAGUAUAAAGAGGGAAAAAUCUAACAAAAAUAUGUCUAAAAAACCCAAAAAAAUAUAUAUUUGUCAUCACUACAAUACCCUAUUUUUGGAUUAAAAUAAAAAUUGUCAUAAAUUGAAAAAAAGGUUAAAAUAACUCAAAAAUACUCAUAAAUUGAUUAUUAUUUUGUUCUCUUUAUUUUUUUUCAUGCGACUUUCUUUCUUCUCUCAAAUACAAUAACUCAAAAAUAAAUAAAAUAAAUUUUUGGAUUAAAAUAAAAAUUGUCAUAAAUUUUGUGUGAGGCAAGUAAUUAUUUUUCUAGUUUUACUUUUCAGUCCUCUUUCUUUAAGUUUUGUUUUUUUAUGAUAAUUUAAACCUAAUUCAAUUUAAUUGGUAUGAAAUUAAAAGGAAAAAAAAGGUUAAAAUAAAACAACAAUCAAAAUUAAACUGACCCAUGUCUUUGAUAAUAUUAAAGUACUAUGCUCUUCAGUGUUUAAUUUAUAAUUUUAUAUAGGUCAAAGUCUGUUCAUAUAUUAAUUGACUGAACGGUCCAAGACGACCACUACCUUAAUUUUGUAAUUGCUGUAAAAUCGUAAUGCUCUUCUGUGCAUUUUUAUAAAAUUCAAAGUUGGCGUCCCCUUUUCUUUGGUGGGAACUCCUCUUGUAAUUUCCUAAUGCUUCAGUAGGAACCAUGCCAUAAUUAAUUCGUAGACUUGACCCAUGAUCGGUCACUUUCGUAUUGAAUGAGGAUGGACCCUGUUUAUAUAAAUAUCCAGUUUAAUUAAUUCGUAUGGUUAAUUACUGUUUUUUAUAAAUAAAAUUACUAAGAUUAACAUGUUAUUUGAUGAUUUUUAAAAAAAAUUAAAUAAAAUUAAAAAUUUAAAUUAAAUAUUAUAAACGGAAUGGUUACCAAAUUAAAAAAUUAAAAAAUCAUUGUUGAUAAUUUGUAAUUGCUUUCACUUUCGUUGGUGCGAACUCCUCAUGUAAUUUCCUAAUGCUUAAGUAGUAACCAUGCAAUUAUUAAUUUGUCGACUUGACCCAUGAUCGAUCCCCUUUUGUAUUGAAUGAGGAUGGACCCUGUUUAUAAAAGAGUAUUGUUCUCAUGACCACAUAAUAUAUAUAUAUAUAUAUAUGCAGGCAGAGUAACAAAACAAAACCAUUAUUUUAUUACCCUGCAAGUUUUCUCUUGAUGUUGAGUGGAAUAUCAAAGCACCUUUUCGGUGCAUACCCAGCCCUUCUUCUACUAGUCAUCCUAGCCGGUCACCAGAGUUGCAGUGCUAGCAAGAACAGUACUGUUGACUGUGCUCCAUCUUCUUGUGGCAACAUCCAUAAUAUUAGCUACCCUUUUCGACUAAGUAC